UCUUUUUUUUUUUUUGUUUGGGUUGGGCUUCUGCGGUUAUGAACACGGAAAACUCUAGGGGUCCGAAGAGGCGUAAACGGAGCAAGAAUGCGGAAAAUGGGUCGAAACGGAGGCGUGCAAAUAUAAAGUUGGCUGCCUUGUGCGAUCAAAGCCGUCAACAGGACAGAAUCAGAAUGGACGUAUAUAGAAUUUACACGAAAGAAUGCAUUGUAGCUAAUGAUAUGCUUUCAGAAUUGUUAAAAAACUACCCCUCCGUCCCAAAUUACUAUUCGUUUUGACUUUUCUACAUAUCUAUAUAUUUAGAUGCAUAUUAAAAGGUUUAUAUCUAGAAAAGCAAAAAACGAAUAGUAAUUUGGGACAGAGGGAGUAAAUAAGUUUAUACUACUCCCUGAAUGUAUUGAAGUUGGUUGGCUUAAGAACGUUACAGAAGAAUAAAGGCUCUAAUCAAACACAAGCACGAACAUCCCAAGAGGAAGACAAAAGAAGAUACAUAUGCAAACGCUUGGAUCAUUCUCUUCCAAGACUUCGAAAAAAAAACAGAGACUUGAGAUUAUUGGCACAAAUAAAUCAUUGCAAGUUUGCAAUUGCAACGUAACUCGUGUCAUGCGCACAUAUUCUUGCUUUUUCUCGUGAGGGGGAAGGCACUCAUGUUCAUGUUCAUGUAUUAUUAUCUAUCGUACUAGUGCAGAUCAUCCCUCAAAGAUGGGGAAAGAAAAGAGAGAUCGAGUGCAGAUCGUAUACGGCCGGUGUCUGAUUCGUGAUCACAAACGGUACAAACUUUGUAUCCAAACCGUUGUACAUACGCGUACUACGUAUUUGUGUUGUCAUUGUUGGCUUGUCGGUAGUGUUCAUUGUUCAUUGCAGCGCUCCUUAUUAGCUGAAAUGCAUGCAAGUCUCUUGCAUUGGUUAAAAAUUAAGGGCAACCGAGCGGUCUAGGAGAGGGAUUAUUCAAGCACCCCAUAUACUUUGCGUACGUAUAGUACAUCGCUUUACUGCCGCCUGCGAGCUAUCAAUGUAUUGUUUUUUGUCUCCAACGGCUACACCGUACAUACACGUACACUAGACAGUUCAACAGGUUGCUCUGCAUGAGCCCACAUGGUAGACUUGCUAAGUUACCACUUACCACUAGACCUGCAACUAGUUCAUAAUCCUGAAGAAAAAGCGACGCAACCACUUUGAAUGCGAUUAGGGAUGGCCAGAUAAGAUGGCCUUGGACUAUGUUUUACCCCUUAAACUAUGCUAUUUGGUUCAACUUACACAUAAUGCAAUUUAUUUUUUUAUUUCUCCAUGCACAAGUUCAAAUUUUAAUUUGAGACUCUGUAAGGGUGGCAGUGGACAUCGUAAUCUAUAUUAAAAAUAUUUUAUGAAUUUUUCAUCAUUAGGUUAUAUAUAUUUUUUAUCUUAAAAAUAAAUUUUAUUAUUUAAUAUCCUACCUAUCAAAAUAAUGAUAAAAAUUUAUGAUCUUGCAAAAUUUGAACUUAAGACUCCACCUGUGCAUGGAGAAAUAAAAAAGACAAAUUAUGUUAAGGUGUAAAUGGAACCAAAUAGUAUAAUUUAGGAGGUAAACUAAACCAAAAUAUAGUUUAGGAGGUUAUUGGGCCUUUCGUUAUAUUUGAGGGGAGUAAUUGGGCCUUUCCCCCUUCAAAUAUGAGGAAAGAGAGCAAGUGCAGAUCGUAUACAGUCAGCGUCUAAUUACUCGUGAUCACUUACAAACUCCAUGUCCAAUCCAUUGUAUGUACGUGUACUACAUAUUUGUACCGUGUUGUUAUUGUUGGCCUGCCGGUAGUGUUCGGUGUAUCGUGACAGUGCUCCUUAAACGAAUGCAAGUCUCCUGCGUUGGUUAAAAAUUACGGGCAGCCGGCUUGUCUAGGAGAGGGAUUAUUCAAGCACCCUGUGUACUUGCGGACGUGCAGCACGACGCUUUACUGCCGCCUGCGAGUUAUCAAUAUACUGCCUCUUGUCUCCAACAGGUACCCGUACGUACACGUACCAUACCACUAGACGGCUCAACGCCUUGCUCUGAGCCCGCAUGUAGACUUGCUAAGUUACCAUUUACCACUGGACCUGCAGCUACUUCACGAGAUUAACAGCUAGCAAUCCUGAAGAAAAAGCGACGCAACCACUUUGAAUGCGAUCAGGGACGGCCAGGUAAAGAUCUGGGGUGCGCGAGCGGCUUCCUCUUUACAGGGCAGAGGCGCACGGCCGCUGCCUGCAUGGGACGAAUCCACCUCGGCACCUCGCUUUGCCGGCGUUCGUGCAGCUUCCGUCGCUCUGGUUGGUCUCGGUCCCCUCGUGUGUUUGUGCGCUCGAUCUGCCACCGGUAAACAACUGUGCAUCGUUGGGAGGGCACGGGGGACAACCCCUUUUUUCCUGCAAAUUCCAUGUGCCAUGCUGCCAUCUUUGUUUGCAAGUACUGAAGUACAAACAUGCGUUGCCUCAGUAUUACGAGUGGAUGGCAUUAUGGCAAAUGGCAUGAACACAUGCAGACUCCAAGGCCCAAGCUAAGCUAGAUACGGUCAUGUUCUAAUGCUGAAAACUUGUUUUUGUGCAGCUAAUAUAGAUCCAGUUAUCAUUGCUGUUAUUUUUUGUAUAGCCUUUUUUAUUUUAUCUGUAUGGAAGCCUUGUGUCAAAAAGAGAGCAUCUAGCUAGGCAGCGUGAUUUAUUUAUUUAAUUUAAUCUGCCGAAGAACUCUAACUGACUGACCUCGCGCUAAUAACCAGCCAAGUAUCAUGGUCUGAUCAUUACGGGCAUGUUACGCCGAGAGGCGCAGACGCGACCAGUCGCGUGACCGGAUGAAGCCACGCACUCGCCGACGACCCCACCGCUCAGCGCCGCGGGGAGCCGCUCGUGGUCCCACCUGUCACACUCACGCGCCGUUACAACCUGUCGGUGCGCGUAGCGGAGGUGGAGGCUCCCUCCCUCCUGCAGUCCUGCUGCUACUUCCCACCCGAAAACGAAACCGCAGCUCGCUGCGCCACUCCCUAAUUAAGGCCCCACUAAUUAAACCCUGCCUUCCCCGCUCACGCUCUCCUACUACCGACAUGUGGGGAUCCUGAUACAUUGGACCCACACGUCAUGGGGUGUGGCUGGGUCUGCAAGGUGUGGCUGAUCCCCGCCGCAGAAGGUGUCAGUGUGGUCAGCAGCUUUAAAAUGAACCCAGCCUCAGUCCCGAUGGAGAAGAAAACAAAACGGAACAGCCAGUGGAAGCCGCCGUGCCGAGGCGGACGGGAGGCUACCAACUCCGCCGCAGCCGCCGCGGCGCAGAGGAAUGCGGCGAGGAGCGGUGGGGCCGCCGCUGCAACGGUAGCUAGCUGCUGGGCUCGGCUCGGAGCGCGGGAGGGGAGCAAUGAGGGUGUGGAGGGAGGGUGCGGGGUGGUGCUUCUGCUCCGGCGGCGGCGACGACGGGGGGCGGUCGGAGCGGGUCAAGGCGGCGAUCUUCUCCGCGAGGGCCUCCGCGCUGGCGGCCAUCAAUGGGCAGGGGCACGGCAGCGGGAGCGGGCUCCUGAUCCACCGGAACCUGCUGCUCACCACGCACGGCAACCUGCCCUCGGCGGCCGCCGCCGAGGACGCCGAGGCGCGGCUCGUCCACGGCCGUCUCGUCGCCCGACUCGAGCCUCACAGGUGCGGAACUCUUCUUCCACCUCCUGACCUGACACCUUCCAAGAUCGCUCUGCACUUGUCUACGAUUGCUUGUGCUUGUGUGGGAUCGGAGGCUUUGGUUAUCUGGCUCUUGCAGUGAUUGCAGUGUGAUUAGCCUGAGAUCCGCCCGCUCCGCCUGCGGCCGAGCUAGCAUGACGAGUCGCUGCGAGCGGAGCCCCACGCGGCGGCAUUCGGCGGAUUCGUCGGUUGUGGUGGGCGAGCUGUUGCUAGUGCUCAUGAUUAGCCGUAAUGCGGCUGAUCAGGAAAGGGAAUUGCUUCUGAAUUGUGGGGUUUCUGUUGGGUAGUUAGUAGUAGCAAUCUUCGAUGUAAUGAUAGCGCCAUGAGCAACACCUCCAGCAGGUGCCCACAAAGAUGGGCGGUGUAAAUGGUGCCUUUUAGUUGUAGCAAUGGGCCCUGGUAUUUUGGAGAAGGUUUGCAUAGACCUUUCUUGGUUUUUGUUGAGUAUAGUACUGUUUAAAGUUUGUUUCUUUUCUUCCUGAGAAAGUCUUUUGAGGGCAUCCAAGAAAUUUUUUGAGUUAUGACACCCACAAGCGAUAAGUGGUUCAUGAUGGAAAAAAGUCAGCAACCAGCAAUCUUGGAUCAUGAAAAGUUCAAAGCGCCCUGUUUGUGCAUUUUAUGUCACCUCAGAUGAACUUUGCUCCUCAGUCAGAAACUGGGUCUGAAAAGCUGAGCACAUUACAUUUGUAUUCUUUUUUUUUGCCUCAAUAAAUUCUACAUUAUAGCCUUCCCACUACUUGUUGUUUAUGAAACAAGCCUGAUGUUCGUCUGAAAUGAUUUUCUUUUUGCACAGAUUCUUCAUUACAAGCUCAAUUCUUGACCUUACAAUAGUGGGUCUUGAUUAUACAGAAGGCGACUCAAAUCUGCAGAGUCAGCAACCUCACUAUUUGAAAACAUGCUGCAAACCAAGCCUAGAUCAUGGAAGUGCUGUGUACCUACUGGGACAUACGGGGAAAAAGGAACUGGUGAUUGGUGAGGGAAAGGUAGUUAUUGGCACAGACAAUCUCAUAAAGCUCGCAACAGAUGGGAUGACAUGGUGCCCUGGGUCUGCCGGUUUUGAUGCCCAAGGGAACCUAGCUUUCAUGAUUUGUGACCCAAUGAAGCUGGCCUCUUCUCCGGCUGCAAGAUCAUCCUCAGCAUCCUCGUCCUCAUCACAUUCGUGGAAGAAGGACCACCCAAUGCAAUUUGGGAUCCCCAUAUCUGUGGUUUGCGAUUGGUUGUAUCAACAUUGGCAGGGCAACUUGGACGAGGUUAGCAAGCCAAAGUUACCUCUUGUUCGGUUGAUGUCCAGCAGGAGUGAUCACUCAAGCACCUCAUUCACUCGUCGUCAUGUGUUCAAGCCUGACGACGAGAAUGAUGAUGCCUCUGUUUGUUCAAAGCCUAAACAUCAGCAGGCAUCAGGAAGCUCAGCCACUGCAAGGAUCUCGCAUGAAGCGAAUCCUCUAGUUGAUCUGCGCACUAGCAGCGAGCAAGGGAUUGCGACGCCAGAAAUAUAUGAAUCGCCAAGGCGAAGUUCUUGCCAGGCUCACAAGGAUGCUGCACCAGUUCAACUUUUGGACAUCAACUUCCCGCCCAGGGCUCCAAAGACUAUCUUUCUACCACUGCCUCUGAAGCAAAUGCUUUCCGAUGAGAACAAUGUCGAAACAUCCAGGCCAAAAAACCGAUCGAAAGGCAAUGGUUUCCCAUCAGGACUGAUAUGGCACCGUAACAGUGAGGCUGAGUGUAGGGACCCUCCAGUAGCUCUUCGGCAUGAGGAUUGCAGCAGUGAGGGGCAGUCGAGCUCAUCACCUGUUGAGAUACUGGAGUAUGGAGGUCAAGAUAAUUAUAGCAGCGAGGAGGAAACAAUGUACUCAGCUGAAACCAUGGAAAGCAGGAACAUUCCAAGCCCCAGGGAAAAGCAUGUGGGGAGGAGCCAGAGCUGUGUCACCUACAGCAGGUGGAGCUCUCCAAGAACCUCGUCGAUGCAAAACGGAACCUUGCGAAAGCAGCAUACACUGAUCCCUGUGCGGAAGACACACUCGCAGAACACCGCUCUGCCGCAGAGGAGUCAUGACUAUUUAAGCCCAACGGUCUCCUCAGCUAUGAAGAAGAGGAAUUCCAUGGAACAGCAACAACCCACAAAGCCUCGUCGGAGCGCUGUUCAGUCUUCGCCAAAAUGGAUGUUUUGAUGGUUCUGCACAUCUGGAUUUGUGGGUGGUGACGAUGAACAAAGAUUUGCCGUUUUGGUGGGAAUCUAUUGCUCCUAUGUUUCCUUCUCAAAGCUUAUCUGUAAGUCGAUGCUGUCUUCCUUGCUUUCUCUCUAUAUGAGACUCUAUGCGCAGAAUGGCUUGGAUAAAUAAAGAGAAACAGAAAGGAAAAGAAAAGGCAGAAAACAAGAAGAAAGAUUACAGAUCAAAUGUGUUGAGGGCAUCAUGUGUGAGCUCGCUGUGAAGUGUUGUUAUCCUUGUGUGUAGACUGGAUGUCUGGAUAAGAACUGUUACAGACUGUAGUAUUCAGCUUACGGAUUUUAACUAAACAGUUUAAUGAUGAUAUUUGUUUCUUUUUUUUUUGUUUUAUCCAUGGACAUGAGGACUAUAAUCAUUUUGUUUGCUGUGGCAUUGCGGUGAUGUGUAUGUCCUGAAUUGAAAUCAGGAGUCUUAAUAGGUUUGAGGGUUUGGCUACCAAGUGAGUUUUUAUUUUCCCUUUUCACUUUACUACUUGAAGCAGAUACUGCUACAGAUCUGAAUACUUUUUUUUUUUACCAGGCUACAGAUCUGAAUGCAGUUGAGGCUUUAGAGUAGAUAAUAUUGUCCGUAAUGCGUUGGUAGUGUGCCAGACUACAGCAAUGUAAAUAGCAUUUAUGGUGAAUAAUGUGGCAGAGUUCAUUGUGGUCCUCUACUCCUCUCCUGUUUGCAGUUCAACAUAAUAGCUUGGGGCUGUCACCAUUAGUCUGAUAGGAUCACUGACAGCCGGACGCCACCUGACUGAACCUGACGGAAUUUAUGUACGCAUUUCAGUCAUUUAGACUGAAAUUCAUCAGCUUCCUCCCUCAGAAUUCAGAAAUCCCUGGCUGAAAAAAUUCAGCUCCUACUGUGAUCAGGCACCCACACCAUUGGUUUUGCGAUGCCUCUGCUUUGUGUACGUGACGAGUGCUCCAUUGCAUGACCUACAGGAUUUUGCACAACCGACAGGCUUGAUUCAUGAACCGUGAUGCUGCGAUGAGCAUCUGGGACUCUGGGUUGCCUGUGCGACGGCAACGUCAACAAUGCCAGGCAGGCAGCUGGACCAGUCACGACACACACCAAGCACGAGAGGUCAGGAGUCAAACCUGGGCAAUGAAUCCAACUAGCAUGCAUCGGCACUGCCUCCUGUCGAGUAAUCUGUCUCCAGGCUCCGUUGAUGCCCUGCGCACAUGGAAACGCUGCUGCCACUCUGUCCCACAGGGACAUAGCACGCUCAAUCAUUUCUCCAUACAAUGCAUCUUCUAUUCUUUUCACAUUACAUUUAUACUUAUAUUCAUAUAUGUCAGCGUAUCACGCUCAUUCAUCUCAACAUUUAGGAGUCACCUUCACAUAAACACCUGCAUAUGUUUCCCGAAACAAAGACACAUCUCCGUAGCAUCAGAGUAUAAUUUACCCCAAAGGCUCACACAGCUAAGCAUAUGAAUAGCUUACAGGUUAUUCCAUGCAGAACGGAAGAUAAUGAAUUUGGGAAUGAGAUGAGAUCCAUCAUGCUAGCUUUUGCAGCUGAAAGUCAUUGUGUAAUCAUGAGCCUUAAACUGAACCUUUUGUAUCAUGAACGAGAUUAGAUGCAGGAGUUGCAAUGAGAAGAAAGGCAGAGGUGGUGUAGUAAGAUGCAAGUUUGAGUACUUCUGCAGCCAACGAUCAGAGAUGAGAAGAAAAGUUGCAUCUUGAUUACUUUGGAAAGAUUUGCACAUGAGCUAAUCAUUUCUUAUGUGACUCAAAACAUCACUUAUGGGCAACUUAGGCGCUACUUUUUUUUUCUUUUCCUUUUGGCAUGUUUCUGCCUUUAUCUUGAACAUCCUGAAGGAACUCUCUUUUACGAAAAAGAACAUCACAAUUUGGAAAUAAACAUAUAUUCGUCUGGAAAAUGGAUUUCUAAGUUCUAGCAACAUAUUAGCACCAUCAGCCAGCUGAAAUGUCAGAAGUCUUUUCUUUGAUAAAAAGUUAAGCCAUUCCAUACAGAAUUUUUGACAACAUAAUUAAGCAAACAACAGAAUUUUCUCAGUCAACUUCGAAGCAUGGACAUAUGAUGAAUGUUUAUGCAUAUUCACUUUGGCAGGCAAUUAUACAUCCUCUGUGCAGGAAUGGAGGUGCACUGCCACUGCAACACCGGAGUCAUGCUGCAAGUUCCAGAAAUAACUAAGCUUCACCAGCAAAAUAAAAUUCAUAGCUAAACUUAAGGUCAAUUUGAAAUGCACAGGGCAUUAUGCAACUUUUCUUCUAACAAAUUGACAAGCAGAAUGUCUUUAAAACUGGGUAAUAGUAGAAUAAAUGUGAAUUGGUCAGACAUAAAGCGCACUAACAAUAUUUAAUUAGCGUGUGUUGUUGAUGGGCAAAUUGAAGAACAUGACUUGUAAAUAUCCCACAUAUUUCAAAAUUGCCAAAUCAGUGAAAAGAACAUGGUUCCUGAAGCAUGACUUAUAUCAGCAUAGCGUGUAGCCAUAAUGUAGGAUCUGUCAAAUAUCUUGUGAAGACAGAAAAGAGCAAAGGUGGGGAACAAAUACAAUAGAUUAGCUGAUAAGGUCCGGUCCAUCCAGUCACUCUGAAAAAGAGCUGCCACGAUUUGACGAGCCAUCACAUUCCACAACACGAUCGGGGGGUGUUUGGUUCCGCGGACUAAAGUUUAGUCCCUAUCACAUCGAAUGUUUAGAUACUAAUUAGGAGUGUUAAAUAUAGACUAAUUACAAAACCAAUUGCACAGAUGGAGGCUAAUUCACGAGACAAAUCUAUUAAGUCUAACUAAUUCAUGAUUAGCACAUAUUUACUGUAGCAUCACAUUGUCAAAUCAUGGACUAAUUAGGCUUAAUAAGGCUUAAUAGAUUUGUCUCGCGAAUUAACCUCCAUCUGUGUAAUUGAUUUUAUAAUUAGCUCAUGUUUAGUCUUUCUAAUUAGUAUGUAAACAUUCGAUGCGAUAGGGACUAAACUUUAAUCCGUGGAACCAAACACCCAGUGAGACGCUAGGGAUGGCAUCCACUAAAAGGCACUAAAUCCCGAAACCUAAAGAAACCAUUAUUCCAGCUAUUAACUAGCCACUAUCAACAAGUAGUAUCCUAGUCAGACAUCCAUGUGUCGUGUCCAAAUGGAUAAACAAAAUCCCACAGGCAGAGGAUAGAGAUUGCUGAACACCCUAGCAGUGAUCUCCAAAUCAAACCAACCCCGUCCCUUUUUUUUUCCUCUCUCAAACAAAUCUAGUGUAGCAACUACACCACGUAAUAAUGAUCACAUCAAAAUACUAGCUAGAAGUAACAGCAAUUGCCACUUAACUAAGCAGGUGGGGAAUUUAUACAUAUUCCUUACUACCCCACUCUCUCAACUCUUACUCUGACCAAUUUAAUGAAUCCCGCGGGCGACAGCAGCAGCUGAGCAGCCGCGUCAGAGGUUGCAUCCGAGGCAGUCGCAGGACUUGGGCAUGAAGGAGCAGUACCCGAAGGGGCGGUUGGGGAUGUUGCAGUUGAUGGCGUAGCAGCAGGGCGCGAGGACGCAGGUGUGCCUGUCCCCGCCGCAGCAGGUGCAGGGCGCGCAGAGCUGGAAGCUCCCCCCAAGCCGCCGCCGCGUGUCGUUGAGCCCGAGCGCCAUCGCGCCCAGCUCCCCCUCCGCCGGGGCCACCGGCACCAGCCCCCGCCGAGAAGGCGCCGCUCCCUGUGCCUGCGCGCGGGGCAACAUGACACAAUGUGAGCGGAAUUGCAGGAAGUCCGAGCCAGAUUCGGGGGAGAUUCGGCGAUUGGAGAACGCUGGCGUACCUGGGAGCUGCUGGAGGCCGCGGCCGAGGAGAAGAGCAGAAACACGAAGAGCGGGAGGAGCUUGGGCAUGGCUGCUCGGCUAGGGUUUUUGUCCUGGGUUGUCGCGGUGCGCUGUUGCAGCGGGGAUUUGGAGUGAGCGAGGAGCGGGUGGGAUGGAUGGAUGGAGGAGGGAGGGAGGUUGAAGGAGGUGGCGGAGUGGGGUUGGAGGGAGGGAUCGGGAGAGGGAAGCUAGCUGGAGGAGGAAGUGAAGUGAAGAUGUGAAAAGGCGAGGGGCGCCUUGCCUGCCUCGGCUUCUUUUCGGAGAAAGCGAGGGCCGCCGGCUCGGGAUGGGAGAUUUGGAUUUGGAAAUGCGCCUCGUCGUCUCCCCGUGCGCACACGCACCAGCUGGCGUCAUGAUCUCUUGGCGUUGCGAGGGUUGAUGGCAUUUUGAGGAGUUACCGCAGUGCUGACCUGACCCAGCGCCAACAGCGGUGGCACGGGAUGGAGAAGGGCGCUCGAGCCUCGAGGACUCGAUCGACGUGCUUCAACGCUCGACGGGGGAUCGAGCAUAAUAGGUUACAGCAACAUGGUUGGGUGACAUUUUACGGGGAUGCAAGAUUGCAAUGCAAUGCGGGAGAUUCCUGCAGGGUUUGACGGCAAAUUGCUAGUGGUAGUGCUAUCAGAUGUAGACGAAGAAGAUGGGGUCCGACCGUCCGAGUCGCAGUGCUGGUACACACGCGUGAGCUUGAUGGACGAAUCUGUCGGGACCUUGGUACCGAGCAGGAUCCGGUGGCCGGUCCUGACAGUCCGCUGGAUUUACCAGGUUACGGGGAGGGAGAUCCUCCUCUGCAAUGAUUCCGCAGGGUGAUCUGCCUGUCCAGUCUACUGCCACGCCUAACUGUACAACCAACCCGAACGCGGGACCAAGAUCACAACAGAAACAUCCCUUUUAUCUUGUCCGUGUGGUUUGAUUUCUCGAUGCUGCCAUGCUGGAGAUGUGGAUCAUCUUUUGAGUCUCAGUGCUUCUUCUUUUUUUUUUGAUAAAGAGUCUCAUUGCUUCUUUGGUUUGAGUUGCUUAUUAUAAGCAACUUAAAGUUGCUUAUUUGAAGUUGCUUAUUUUUAAUAUAGCUGUUUGGAUACCCUUGCUUAUGAGCAUUGAAUGAGGUGGAUAUUGUCAUAUUUGCCUCUUGUGUUGCUACCCCUCUCUGCCUCCACACGCUUCUUCUUUCCUGCACACGCUUGAUCCCCGGGGUCGACGGCGGGCAGAGAGUAGCAGCAGGUGACCGGUGGCGGCGGCGGGGCGGGAGUGGGAGCGGCGGGCGGAGGCUGGCGGUGGCGGCGACGGGGCAGGAACGACGGGCCAGGGCGGGAGCGACGGGCCGACGCGGGAGCGGGGGAUCCGGCGACGGGGAAGGGGAGAGAGAGAGGAGUAGAGUGCAUUGAAUGAGGGCAGAAGGUGUAAAGUGCACCUUUUAGUCCCCAUAAGCAACUCUUGUGUUGCUUAUUUGCUAAAAAUAAGCAGCCCCAUAAGCAACCCAAUAAGUAAGGGUGAUUGGUUUCAUAAGCAAAUAAGUUACUUAUUUUAAGUUGCUUAUGCAUAAGCAACUCAAACCAAACAGGCUCUCGGUAUUGCACUCUUGCUGUAGGCUGUAGGGAUAAACUGUUCAAAGCAGCAAAUCAACAUUCACAGCGAAGAAUGAAUCCAGGUACCUGCCUAGUGUUGCCACGGCCCGCAAAUGCAGGUUUCAAAUAAAUCCAUGCGAUGGUAUAAUUUGUAAUAUUGCAGAAGAAUGAUCACCGGCAGGCUUCGGCUCCUUUUUUUCGGAGCAUUUCCUACCUCGCCAACUGUUAAAUAGUGCAGCAAAGUCAAAUAGUGCAGGCACACGAAAACUGGAACUCUUCCUUUAUUCAGAUUGCAAUAGGUACUCCCAAAGAUCUGGAUUAACAAAAAAAAAAGGGCUGUACAUCUCCGGUAGCAACUCAAUUUACAGAACUUGAUUCCGGCGGGGAGUUAGGAGAAACAUUCACAGCGCCUGAGACGACGCGGUGGAUUUUAUACAUCACAAGGUAGGUCAACAGAAGAAAAAAAAGGCGUCUAGGAUGCGUAUCCAGAACCAGAUGGGGAUCCCAGAAGGCGCCGAGCCAUAGGUACAUUAGUUGAAGCGGAUGCAGGAGAAGCUGAUGCUGAGAAACCAUAAGCGUAGACUCCCAUUGGAGCGGUCAUUGGAUGGUCGAACUUACAGUUGGCUCCAAACUUGCAGAUGCCAUAACGUGAAUAGAAUUUGCAGAGUUCUUCACCCUGGAAAAUAAACAUAGGAUGGUGUAUCAGCCUCUCAGGACAAUCAAAGGCAGUAGACCAUUCAAGGAAGUGCAGCAAAAGGUCUAGCUAAAGCCUAAUCAUGAGACACUAUAUGUAAGCAAUACCCACUGUUCAUUCAACAACUUGUAUGUUACCAAAUCAAUAAACAGAUAUACUUAGAGUGUGUUUGGUUGCAUGCACCACUUGAUGUAUGCAUGGAUGAUCCUAGAUGAUGGAGUUCAAUCAAUUUGCUCGUACCAUAUGGUUCACUCUUAUUAGUAGAAUAAUGUAUUAAGUGAGAUGGCUUCAUCCUGGAUGGGUUGAUACAAUUCAUCCAACAAAAAAAAAAGGAUCAUUAUUAUUUUGAACAAUUCCAUACAUGAACAAAUGGUAUAAGCAACCAAACACACCCUUAAUACCUGCCCUAGAAAAUUAAUAACUUCUGACAAUGCUCUAUUCAGUCCAGUCAUCAACAAUGAUGCUUGUCUACAAUAGUGGGCUUAGUGGCUGAGCCCUCAAAAGUUUUUUAUGAUAAAACAGAGCUCAACCAACACAUAACAAGAAUGGUCUAAUAAUGGUAUCUCGAAUCUGCAUCUUAAGCUUCUUCAGUAGUGUGCAUUUUUUGCUACGAGAACAAAUCAGACAUCAUUUGCAGAAAAAUCAUGCCACUGCAAAUCAAUCAUCUAGCUGAGAAACAGCAUGUACAAAACAUCCUUCAUUUUCUUAUCUGCCACAAAUCAGCUCUUUAUACACACGCAAUACAUCUUUGAUUUUAAAAUUCUCGGACUGCAGAACUGCCAAGCAGUUACAUAGAUGAAUAUUCUCAACAAGGAUGUGAUCUGUGAGAACAGCAUCCGCUGCUUCUCUCCCAAAAAGAGAGGUACAGCCAUCAAUGAAUGCAUAUGCAAUACAAUUGACAAAACGUCUAAACGAAUGAUAAAUAUAACAGAAACAGUGAAGGGUUGUGGUUAAUGACUUACUGGACGAAUUGGAAGACCCAUUGGACUUAAGACACAAUCUGGAGGCGGCAGUGAUCUCACCCUGGGAUGAUGGAACUUGCACACUGCACCAAAUUUACAAUCUCCUGUCUUCAUGUAAUAUUGGCAUUCUGGUUGAUCAGGUCUCUCAGGAAAUACAUUCUCUCUCUGCAGCGCAUAUUGAGGCACAGGAAACGAACUAGAUCUGUAGGGUGAUAACAUUCCCUGGUUUCCUGCGCUAGGUUCCCCUUGUUGAGAGGUUCCAUAGGUUUGUUGAGCCCCUGGUGACUGCAGUUGACCCUGAGAAGAUGAUACAGAUAGCAUUUGGCCCUUUAGAGACAAGUAAAAUCAGAAACUAUCUACUACCCUAAAAUUGGCUCCAAUAAUUUAUGUAAGAACAGGUUUCAGUGUCACAAAUUAUGAAACAGAUUAGAGAAAAUCAUUGCCUGAUAUGCAAUUUGCAGAAGAUCAAAUAAGUGGGAGAAACAAGUUCAAAUAGCUACAGACAAUACUUUUGCACUCCCUAUUCUUCUAGGGAAUCUCUCAAGACUCCGUGUUUAACAAAGUUUUGAAGGAAAUUAGUAGAACCAAUUAGUGCAAAUUGCAACUGCUUCAUGAUUUAAAAUUGCACUGCAUUACUAGAGCAAAUGAACUUACAGGAUAUGAAUUCCAGCUUGGCACUUGAACAAGACCCUGAGGUACAAUCAUUGGUGCAUAAUUUGAAGGACUUUGCCAUCUGGGGCUUGGGAUAUAAGAAGCUCGUGGAAAAGCCCAACUUGCCAUAGUUCCAGUAUAGGAUUGCGGACCAGCGCUUGCAGAGGAAUGUACAGAAGGAUAAAUAGGAGAACCACGUGAAGAAGGCACCGCAUUGAAAAGUUCCGGAUGGUGGAAUUUACAAGUAUUUGCAUAUUUACACUGUCCUGUUUUUAAAUAAUAUGCACACUCCUUUUCGUUCUACAAAAGUAAAGUGGACUUCUUUUCAGUACAGCAAGAAGAGACAAGCAUAGAAAAGGAAGGAUGUAUAACUGCCAGCAAACGAACGAACCGGGCGGAGUGGAUAUCCUAAUGUGUUUAGCUGCACCCUUCCUGCAAUUCCAGCCUUUUCCCUGGGAUGGUGAAAUUUGCAUGUUGGGCCAAACUUGCAUGUUCCGGUCUUCAGAUAAUACUACAUGAAAAAUGUUCAGAAAUUUUCAGCUUCGAUCUUGCACAAAGUAUAACCUAAAGAUUGUACGAUCAAACACAAAUACCCAGGGAAAUGUCAAGACUAACAGAAAUACCCAAAUGACUAAAGUAUGAGUACAAUCACAAUCCAGAUUAUCGUUCAGAAAUCUGAAGACUAUGCCUCAGUUCCAUUCUAGCUGCAUGAAUAACUAAGGGACCAGAACAUUGAUCUCUUCUGAUCUUGUCUAUAACUAUAUGAAUCUUUUAGCUACAUUGAUAUUCUUGUCUCUGCUUCUUUUUUAAUUGAAAGUGUAUGAACCAGCUAAGCAAUUUCUUAAAAUCAUCCUACAAGAAAAACAGAACAGAUUUGGUCAGUGACCACAUAGGUAGUGAUUGGUAGGCUGCACUAGUUGCUAGCCAUGCUAACUUUAACCCAGGCCAAUUUUGACCAGGCUAAAUCAAUGCAAAGUGCUCGUGUUUGGUUUGGUGGCUAAAGAUAGCCUGGUUUGCUAUGCUCAUGUUUGGUUGGCUGCACAAUGUGAUAAGAUGACCCUGUAUUUCCUGGAGUUGAAGUUACCACCCAUAUCUCUCCCUCUUCUCUCAUCUGCCCCGUCCUCGCUUCCACCUAGACGUGCCCCGCCACCGCUGACAGGCUCCUCGGUGCCCCAUCCCCUACCUCCAUCAUCACCUCCUUCCCACUUCUCCUCCUCCAGAGCUCGCUCUCACUCAUGCGGUGGUGGAGGUUGCGGCGAGGCCUUCAGGUGGAGGACUUGAGGAGCUUCGGCGAGGCUCAAUCGAGUUCGAGCACGGCCCAAUCGAGCUCCGGCGAGGCUCAAUCGAGCUCGAGCACGGCCAAUCGAGCUGGGCACAGACAAAUCGAGCUCCAACAAGGCUCCUCCUUCAUUAACGGGUGCUCGUCUCGCCAACCGAAGCGCUGCUCCCGCGCCGGCCGGAGCGCCGUGCUCCCACAGCUCCACUCCCGUGGCAGCUGCAUCGCCGCUCCCGCGCCUGUUUUUGCUCCUGCGCCGACCCAAGCGCCGCUCGCGCGCCUGGCUGCGCUGCCGCGUCGGCUGCAGCGCCGCCGCCACACGGGGCUCCGCUGCCGCGCCGGCCUGCUCAAUGGUCGGAGAUGGAAAAAGGGGAGGUGAGGUGAGGAGAUGGGAAAGCUACGGGAGGUGAUGAGAAAGCAGAGCGCCAGAGCCAUAGCUAAGCCAGCCUGCAUUGCUGUAAGCGGAUCUCAUUCUUGUUUCCAGUAAGCCUGGCUAGUACCCCUCCCCUACAUUAGCUAAGCCUGGUUAAAGGUCUUGUGCAUGCUACCAAACACAGUGAAGCUGCAUUAUGGGAGCCUGGAUAGGGGCUAUGCACCCUACCAAUCACAACCAUAUGGAACUGUCAACCACAAAACCAUUGCCACAAGUAAUACUUUCAUGACUAAAUCAUGUUUCUGAAAACAAUUACCACAAGUAACACUUUUAUGACUACAUCAUGUUUCUGAAUGAUAGAAGUGUUAGUUAUCAGAAUUACCUGACAUUCUGGCUGUCCCACUCUCUCAGGAUAUUCUCCCUUCAUUCUGGCAGAGGCAAUAGCCUAAAAUUAAACAGAUUCAACCUAAUUUGAGAACAAAAAAUGGGAUAUAAAGUAAAGAAACAACGAUUAGUUCAAUAAAGAUGUAGAUUUUACAAGGAAUAACUAGCACCAACCAAUGCAAAGCAUCAGUAAAGAACACAAUAUCAUAGCUUGCGGAGUAACUAAAAGCAAACUAUAAGACAAAUAGCUGCCUCUGUCCCAUUAACUUUGCUAAUAUGGAAUUGAGUUAUUCUGGCAGAUUGGGAGAAAACUGACAGCCACAGACAAUAGAUCAUAAACUAUGCUUCAAGAUCAUAUCACCAUACAAAUAGAAAAAAAAAACGAGUCACAUGGGACAAAUAGCACCAAGCUCACCAUAACAUGAACAGAUAGAAAGAAGGAUGGAGCACAAGGGAAAAUUAAUCAUAUUGACACCCUGCAAGCUAAAAACACAUAUUAUUCUGCAUUAUAUUUACAAAUUGUUUUAUCUGCAACACACCACAGGACUAGCAGAUAAACAGAAACAUCAAACAGCACAUAAGACAGGUAAGCACCUCAGGCAAAACCUUAUCACCAGCCUACUGAAACCUAUAUCUUUGUGUGUUUCCCAAUGGAAAAGCUUUUAAAUAUCAAGACAUGCCAUCACAGCUUUGCUUUUCAAACAUUGCUCCUUGCAUUUUGUUCAGUGGUGCAACAUUAAAUACAUCAGAGAAGGACAAAACUUAUAAAGGCUUUGGUCCAAGGGCAAAUUCUUCAAGACUACACAUGGUUCUACAAAUAAUGCUGAAAAUGUACAUAAUAACAGGACGCCGGAUAAUAGCAAAAUAUCUGGUGAUCCAAGAAAUAUGGCACAUAAAGAGUUUGUAAAAGAAGAUACUCACCAGAUUCCUAUCCGGAGGGUGAUUGAACCUGCAGCUCAUGCCAAAUCUACACAAUCCAGUCCUGAGGUAGUAAGUGCAGUCCGGUUCACCCGGCCGCUCAGGAUAUGGCCCAGGUUGCAUAGUGGCACCGCUGUUCAUGGCCAUCUGUUGCCACAUCCCCUCUGCAAUCAACAUUGCACAUACACUCACAACUUGACUAUAAACCAGUAUAGUUUGAAAAACUGAGAUCAACAUGUGUGUAAUGUGAAAUUUUCACUUUAGGUCUCUUUGAGUGAUGAAGCCAUCCACAUUUUUUCCACCGACGCUAUUCAUGCAAAAAUAACCUCCAGACAAGAACUAAAUCAUCAAUACCUUAUAGUUGUUCAGCAAAUUUCUAAGAAAGCAUCCGUUAAAUCCAGAUGCUAGACAAGCUAUAGCAAAAGGUAGAAUCCUUAUAAACUAGUCACAGCAUCACACGGCAAAAACCCCAAUUGGCCCAAUUCCACGCCGACGCGAAGAUCAGGCACCAUACAAAACUGCAGCUCUCGGCACCGCUAAAGUAACUGGGAUUAGCAACCCAUGGUUGACAACAGAGUAUUCCAGGAGCAACCAAUGAUUCCACCGAAAAACAUACGGAAAAACAGAGCACCUGAGCUUAACCUACACGGGAAAUUAAGCAUCGAAACCCCAAUUCACCGAACCGCACCACAGUUGGAGCGCGAGUGGAGAGAGGAGAUGAAGCCCUAACCUCCAUAGAGCGCGGAGGGGUCGGGGGAGGACGUGUCGGCGGCGGCGGUGGUGGCGGAGGGCGGAGGAAGCGCGGGUGCGGAGGUGGCGGAGACCGUCACCGCCGCGGGAGCGGAUGCCCUUCCGGCGUCGUCCAUCGGCGGAGAGUGGCGGUGUCGACUGCCAUCACGCGAUCAAGGCGGCGGGAGGAGCUGCAGCUGCCAUCCCUGGGCUCCGGCGAGGGAGGGGAGCAGCGAGUGAUCGGUGAAGAGAAGAGAAGAACAGAGAGGAGGGCCCUGCCCCUCGUAUUUAUUUCUCUCUCUAUUCUCUCUCCACCUUUCGGAGCCGCGGUUUGCUACGUGCACUCGCGCGUGGCGUUGUAGUGCAACACGCGCCUCCUUUCUUUUGGGUUGGCACGGGAGAGUGUUCAUGGCGUGUUUGGUUUAUGUCAUUAGCGCGCCGAAUACCACAUGUUAUUGCAGCAAACCGUGGGCGGGUUUGAUUCAUGUCAUUAGCGCGUCGCAUACCACACGCAAUUGUAGCAUAACGCAGAUGGGUUUGGUUGGUGCCGUGGAUUUAGCGCGUCAUAUUGCUAAUGCAGCCACAUGGCUCAUUUCGAGCGUCAUUCGCCGCAGCUUAGCCGCAUCCGCCGCAUAGUACGACGUAUUAACAUCAGCAUCCAAAACAUGCUUCUAAUCUUUGUUAUUUGAUUUAAAAAUAAGUGCGGUUGAAAAUAUUGAUGAAAAAUAAAAUUACGCAACUGUAGUGCUUGUCAUUAACUUUUAAGUGUUAAUUUAACCUAGAGAAUAAAAAGAAAGAGUGAUCAAUAGAGUUGGAACAGUUCCAACAUAUAUCAAUAGAGUUGGAACAGUUCCAACAUAUAUUUCAAUAGUAAAUUGUAGAGUGUAAAGUGAUUCCAUCUCAUGAAGUUUAUUUAUGGAAUAUGGAGUUUUUAUACGUGCUUUUUCAAGUUAAGUGGCAAUUAUCACCAUAUUAUGAUGAACAAAGUGAGAUAGAUUAGCAUUGGACCUUGAUUUAGGCAUCAUCGCUCGAUUAUCUUCAAGAUAUACGCUUGGUAGAGGCGUCAUAGGGUACAAGUGGAUUGUUCUAGUUCAUAGAUAUAAUUUAUUUUCAUUCCAUCCUUCUACUUUAAAAUUUUAGAUUAAUCUACUUUGAUGCAUUUCCGUGUUUUUCGUUCACUAAUAACCCAAAGAAAAGGAAGACAUGCAUCCCAUGCUCAGACCAUAUCACCAAUUACUUUCUCGUAUAAAAAAGUGUCUAAACCCCUAUUUACUUCAUAUACGCGGAAAUAACUUAGGCAAGACAAAACUACAAUAUUAACGAACAACAAAUGAAAAUGGAACGGUAAAAUAGGCAUUUCGAUCCAUGAACUUUGCACCAAGGGUCAGGUUCGUCCCUCAACUUUUAUAUUUGAUCAAUCUAAUCCCUCAACUUUUAUUUUUGAUCAAACUCAUCCUUUUUGCUGAUAUGGAGCUCCAUAUUAGCAUGACACUGAUGCAAAAAGUCCUUUAUACCCUUAGAUCCUUAUUUCCCUCUUCAAUUUUCACUGAAAUAAAUAUGAGCAUAUAAGUAUGAUCCAAAUGUGGAGCAUGUGUACCGUACCGUAAGUAUGUGAGCACAUGUCAAUUUUAAUUUUAAAGCAUGCUUACAUAUACUGAAUUGUAUAUAUACCAAAAUAAUAUAAGUACAUACUUGUUUGAUUACAUACAUUUUGCAUAUCAAAUUCUUAUAAUAUGCAAAAUGUACGUAAUCAAAUAAGUAUGUGUGUGUGUAUACUGCGUAUAUGCAUGAUUUAAAGAGUAUGAGUAGAUAUUUAGAAAUCAUAUUUUGUGUUAGUUAAAAAAAUAUAUUAUUGUGUGUAUGUAUUAAGGGAGUAUGAGCACAUACAUGUUUGACCUACAAGAGCCAAAGGGUAAAAGUGACUUUUUGCAUUAGGCUCAUGCUAAUAUAGAGCCCCAUAUAAGCAUAAGGACGAGUUUGAUAAAAAACAGAAGUUGAUGGACUAAAUUGGUCAAUCUAAAAGUUGAGGGACGAAUUUAUACCCUAGUGCAAAGUUUAAGGACCACCGUGUCUAUUUUUGCCAAAUGGAAUGUAAGUCCAUUUCCCACAAACCACGUAACGAAUCCCGGUGGUGCACGAGCCGACGUGCAGCUAGCAAUUUUGCAGUGCUCUUUUGUAUGCAUCUCGCAGUGCGGGGCUGCUGCUCAUUUCCGCCUUUUCUUUUCUUCCUUUUCCCUUUCUCCUCAAGCUCGGCCCCGGCUUUUAUGCGUUCGUUUCCUGGCCAUCUUUUUGUUCGGGUGUGAAUUGUGAGGAGAGGAGCAAGGGCAUGCGACCGGAGUGACCUCAGCCAGUCGUUCCAGCUUCCCUUCCCCUUUUCCCCCGCCGCGGCCCCUCUCCCUUCUCCCGGCUUCUGGCUUUUUCCCCUUUUUAUUUCCGCUCGAUCGAUGCCCGCGUAUCUCCCCUCCGCUUUCCAAUUUUCUCCCCCCUCUCCCUUUCGCUCGUGGUCACCGACCACUUGUGUCGUGUGCGAUUCCGGCGGCUUUGGGCCUACGAGCCCGGUCCUCUUCCUACGGCUCGGAGUUGGAGGUGAAGUGAAGCGAAGCCGAGCUUGCAUGCACGCGACGCGAGUGCCGCGCGUCGUGCUGUGCGGCGGUGGUCUCCACGGGCCUGGGUGGGAGUCGAUGGAUGCGCCAUGUCGCCGUGCCGCUCGCUGCGGCGGCGGUCACUCGCGCCGCCCGACCGUGGUGCUGGAACGCUGGAUCACACGGGAGCCGGACGCGUGCGGCACAUCAGAUGCGUGCGCGCGCCACUUCCGAAGGGAAAAGUGCGGCGGCACCGCGGCAGGCACGAAAUCUCGCGGAGUGGAUUUCGUCUUCCUGUGCCUUUCGCAUCCCCUUCGUUUCCUUCACGAUCACAACCGGCGAAAAAAAAGAGAGAAAGAACAAUUGGGUGGGUGCUAAAUGUCGCAUUGGUGACUAGGUGAGGCCCAUGGGCCUAACAAUUCUAUUGUCCGUCCACGGAACAUUCUUUUGGGUGCGAAUAGACCAUUUUACAACCGCAAACAACUAUUUGUUCUCGCUAAUAAAAAAUGUUCCGUACGAAAAAAAUAAGUGUUGAAGAAGAAAGAAAAGCUUGCGAUGUGUGGAAAAAAAACAUAUGACAGUCACAUAUGCGACAGCUAACAAGCCCUUCUUGUGUAGCGGUUUGCGAUAUGCUCCACGACCAGGCAUUCUAAAACAAUAAGAGUGAACAUGCAAAUAUUUUUGGAGACCCUAAAGAUAAAGAUGGACAGACAAUUCACUCGAAUUGCAUUUGCAGCCUUUUCGGAGCACGUCGUCUCCUGCAAGUCCCAACUUUAGGAUCGUGUUAUUGGAAUGUUCUCAAUUAGAGUGGAUCAUAUAGGUUAGUUACACCUCAAUCUCAUCGAUUUUUACAUGACGUCUCUCGCAUUAGUUUUUCUAUUUACAACACAUGAAACCUCAUUAUAUCAAUAUCGUGAAUAUAUAAGGAAAGGACAACAUCUAUAAAAAUAGGGCACAUGCCCUCCUCCCACAAACCCCAAGUCCCUAACCGCCGUAUAUGGAUCGAAAUGACCUUAUGGGUUUCAACCUUCGACGCCCGUAUCCGAGUCUCAUCAUGUUCACGGCACUGUGGUGCCAAGUGCCAACCCCAACAUACCCAACAAAGCUACCCUCGUGGAGUGGAUUUCUUCUUCCUGUGCCUUUUACAUCCCUUCAAUUUCUUCUUAAACACAAUUUUGGGAAAAAAAAUAAUUUUAAGUGGCUACAAGCCCUUCUUAUACGGCGGCUUGCGAAAUGCUCUAGAACCAGCAAGAGUGUGGACACGCAAUGUUCUUUUUUGAGACUCUAUUGCCAAGGUUACAAUGGAGAUGUCAAUCUCUGGUUGAAAUGGUAAAGAUGAAUAUGUGGACCAACCCCCUAUUCAGUGCACGUGGUGUCAGUGUUUAGACCCGGCAACCUACCGAUGGGGCAUCUGAGGUAGUGUUUAAUGUGUGGGGCUUGCCGAAGACCUGGAACUCGAAAGUGAACUCGAACACACGAUUUAGACAAGUUCGGGCCGCUUAUGUCGCGUAAUACCCUACGUCCUCUGUGUUGGUUGGAUUGUAUUGAUUGAUGAUGUUUGAAGGGGGUCCCUGCCUCGUCUUAUAUUGCCGGGAGCAGCAUUACAAGUCGGUUGUUUUACAAGAGUACUAGUCGGAUUCGACUAGAGAGUCCUACUCUAAUUGCUACGAGUAUUUUUCUAAUCCUCGACUAGUUCUUGUCCUUCACGUAGAUCACGCCGUCCUGCUUCGUAGUCUUCAUGUCCGACAUGUCUCGGUGUGCAGCUCCGUAUGCAAGACUGUCCAAGCCUCCCGGUGGACCUAUAGAUGUAUGGCUGACAUGUGGGCUCAUGCAAAAGCCCAACAAUUCUAACCGGGCCGAAACCGACACUAUUCACCCCCGGCGUUGGGCUUCACCGCCAAGCGAAUCGAUGACGAAAAAUGAUGGGCCCCUCUCAUCAAUCAACUCUUCUUGUCAGGCCGCAGGCCGAGAGAGAGAAAUGGAGAGGGUAAAAUGGUAAAAUAUGUGAGAACAGCAUUAGUCUACGCUUGUUAUUAGGGCAUUCACAAACAUCGGUUCUGCUGCCAUCACACCAGGACCUUCGUAUUAGUGGCAGUAUAGCGCCAUUUUUACUGGUUUAACUGCAGCAGAUACCGUGGAACUCGCAGUCCGGCACACUUGUCUCGGCCUCAGCUCAGGUCUGCGCAUUGCACUACUAGACACGAGAGGACGUAGUAGAGCAACAGCAAGCACGACAGGGGCCAGAUUCGAUUCGAUGGCACGGCAUGGGCGCAUGGCGCUCGCCCUGCGUCCCUUUCCCGUGAUCGCGGUUGCAGACGGGGCCCCCACCUCACAGGCACAGCGACUCGCGCGCGCCCUGUGCGCAACGCAACAUGGGCUACAUGGCAACAUGCCACAAGCUGGCACGUGCCAGCAGCCAGAGCCCGGGGACGAGAGGAGAGAAUCUCUCCCCCUCUGGCUCUCUCUCCUCUGGUCUCUCUCUGCACGAGGAGUCGAGCAGUUUCCCAGUUCCCUUCCGUCCCGCUUCUGCAACUGCAAGCCUGCACUAGCCACCAGCUGCACUGCUCGCCGCAGAACCCUGAACCCCCUGUGGCCCCCGGCCUGGAGUCCGCUGUGGUGGGGACACCGGGCAGGCGGGCUCCAGCUUUUCGCCAUAAAGAAAGAAGACUCUGCCGUCCCAUCGGCAUCCCUGACCAUGCAUGAGCUCGUUCAGUACGGGAAAACAUGCGUUAAUCAGGAUUAAUUAGCGAAUUAACCUUAUUUAUGUAAUUAUUUUUAUUAUUAAUCUAUGUUUAAUCCUCCUAAUUGUCAUCAAACAUGAUCCGAGUUAAAUUUUAAACAUUCCCUCAAGCCUCGUGGUUCCACGGCACGCCAACCACUCCCACCCAGGCACCCACGGCAGAAUUCUCCGCAGGUUAUCCAUGCCGUCUCCGUCAGGUCCGGGCUCCGGUACAUGCAGCCGAUCACGAGCCAUGAACACAAGGCCCCAAGUGGCCAAGCCGUGCGCACCGCCGCGCGUCGCGUGGAACGGUUAACUCUUGUUCUGGUCCGGCCGUGAAAAAUCUGAUGGUCCGCCUGCUGCGUGGCGUGGCGUAGAGUGUUGAAUGCGUGAUGGAGGGGGCCAAGGCCAAGCGACAGGCGUUGAAGCGGAGUGGAGCACGUAAAGCUGCGGGGGACAAGCCGAGGCAGAGACGGCAAGCGUCCAUCCGUCUCCCUCCCUCGUAGCCCUCGUCCUCUGCGUUUCAUUUUCAUCGCCACGCGCCCACGCCGCCCUAGUUCCAGAAGCAGCGGCAAAGCCGGCAAGCCAUUGCCACCCAAGAGAGAAGGAACGACCGGGGAGCUCGUGAUGAAAUGAAAUGUGGAUGCAUAGGGGUGUUAUUCAGCUGAACUGGUUAACUUCGAAGCUGGAAUGUGUGAAAUUUUGAACCAAGUCGAAUUGUUCCCGGUGAGUUCUGGUGGCAUCUUCUCCGUAGAAUUCUUGCCGCGCAAAGGGCAUCCAUGAUCCAUCCAAGGGACAUCAACACGAAGGAACAAUCAUGCGUUCAGUGCCAACCUUUUUUUAUCGUCAUGCACGAUAAAGAGAUAAACUGGCAGUAGGCCAGGCCAGCAGCAACUGAAGAUUAGAUCAAAGCAAGUCCAGUCACAGUCAAAAGGGAGAAUAGAUCAAAGCUGCUCCGAGCCGUAUGAUUGUGCGACCCACCCGAUCCGUGCCAAGUGCCAUCAUGAGAUCGAUCGCUGCCGUGCUACCCAGUGGACCCUAUCGGCUAUCGUGGCCGCUGCUGCUCUGAACCGACCGGUCCCGGCUCGAGCUGACCCGACCUGGCCCCGUACCCGUGCUGCACCGCACCGCACGGCACAGUGCCCGUACGCGAUCCCAUCCAUCCAUCUGCCCGUCGGACGGGUCACGAACCGUUCGGUCCCUUCGCGUGCUCGCCUCUCCGUUCUCUCCCACUGUGCGGCUGCGCCCCGCUUGGCGCUUGCCUUCACGGUUACAGCUUCAGUUCAGUUCGGAGCAGGAGCUCUCUGGCCCUGCCGCGAUCACGGGCUCGGCCGCCCGGCGGUGCCCGUGAGCCUGUCUGUCAGCUGGGUGAGAAUCUGCGCGGUGCGGUGAGGUGGUGUGGUCCUCGGCUCUGGGCGCGCGGGCGCUUGGCGUGUCGAUAUCACCCCGGCAAAAUGAGGCAAGGGGUUUAACGAGCUAGGUGCCGGUGGCAGCACCUCCAAUUAGUAACCAGUGAACGUGGGCGACGCAGCUGGAGCUUUUGACCUUUGAGAUUUGGAGCCCUUGGAACUUUGAAUUGGGGGGCUUCUGUUUUUGUGGAUGGACCAGUGAUCUGCAUGCGUCAAGCCGAUUUGAUUCUGUAUCUAUUCAGAGCGAAGCCAUUUUUUGAAGGGAGGUGGCUAGCUACUCAAGUCCAAUCAGAUACGUAGUUUCUUUUGCGGCUCCAUUUGUGCUCAAAUUCUAGUUUUCCGAGUUCAAUUCAAAUGCAUUUUGGUGAGCAAGAACGUACGGUUCUGUGAUGUGAGGUGACGUUGUUACGAUUGGGGUCACAGUAUUUUGUCCCAUGCGUGGCGUGCGCACGUUCAUGACAGUUACUUUGGCUCUAAGAAGAGACGAGCAAAAGAUGCUGACAAGAAGACACUACAAUCAACUACUUUUGUUCUUACCAUUCAAUGUUUUUGUUCAGGUUGUGCUUAGUUUAUUUGACUGGAAUUCCAGAAGAGACCUGCCAACGCUGUUAUUAAAUGUACCAUAUACUAGAAAUAACGUCAUAAUACAAGAUAACUCCUCGUUGUUGUUGGGCACAAUAGGUGAUUGCAAGACAAGGGGAAAAACAAUGAUGCAACUAGAGAUCCAAGCGUAGCAAGAUCGUAGUGUCGCAUGGAGUCAUCUACUCAUCUACCCGUCUGUUGCUUUUUUUUACAAAUAUGAAACUUUUGAACAAAAGAAAUAGAGAAAGUAUUAACGAUGGACCAUGCAUAAUAAUGAAAUAAACACGUGCACAAUUAAAAUGGCAACCCUGUAUAAUCACCUAAUCAAUCAUGUCAUGCCGUGCUAAGCAGUUGCGUGUAGUGACUCCGGGCAGGAGAAUGAACACGUAUCACCGAACUGUGGGAACGGAAGACCACCAGCUAGAAACAAAACAAAUGCUAAAAAAAAAGAGCUAGAAACAAAACAAAACAUAAAACGGACGCGACCGCGCCUGCGGCUUUUUACCGAAAAGGAAGGCGAUAAGCACAAAAAAACGAACGCGAAAGCCAACACCAAAAGGCAACCAGGAAAACCCACCGGCUUUUCCUGCCCAGCACCGCCUCCCUUCCCUCUCCCCCCCUCGUCGCCUCGCGCACGCACCCUCCCAGUCCCCAGUUCGUGAACUCCCCCACCGCCCCGUCUCGCCGCUCGCGCCUCACGCCUCCCUCGUGCCCGCGCCACGCCCACGCCCCGCAGGAGCACACGGCACCGCCGGCGGCCGGCAUUGCGGAGUCCCCGCGACCCCCGGCCGAGGUAACGCAUGAUCCUCUCCUCUCCUCCCCGCUUCUCCCUCCCUGCUCGCUACUGCUGCGGCGCUACGAGGCCUGCGAUAGACGCUGCGGUGUGGCCUUGCGUCGUGUGUGCUCGUGGUGGUGGCGUUGUUCUGCUACCGAGUUCUCUCGCCUGGUUCGUUCUCGUUGCAUCCUCCCACUUGUUGGUGUGCUCUGCGCGCUUGUUCAUGUCCCGGGCAGCGACGGAGUGCGGGGAGGACGAUGCGGUGACAUGGCACUGCCGCGGCGUGGAAUUCUGCCGUUGCAGUCGUCCGGUGGCGCCACCGUCGGGCUUGAUCCGGAUAAAAUCGUUGGGAGAGGAGUAAAGGGUUCAGACGAUUUGGGCGCUGUUUGUACUUUGUAGCCUUUUGUUUCUGAUGAUUCUGUUCUUCGUGGUCUAAGGUUUUUUUGGUUUAAUUCUUUUGCGAUUUUUUGGCUUGGGAAAAAGGCGUUCCUUUUGCUCCUCCAAAUUCCGCCCCCAUUUCGCUCCCCGUGCCGUGGCUUCAAUUCCUUCGUGCUGUCUCGGGCUACGUGCUAGCAGUGGUAGUACUGGCUGUUGUUUUAAUGGAAAUGCUGCUAUUGAAUGCGACUAUUUAAUUGUACUUGGUUGGUCAGCACACCCACACUCCCCACACGGACCCAUAAACAAAUCACAACCCAAAUGAUGGCCUAAAUCAGAGGGGAAGAAACAUACCCCAGCCGUCAUGCCAGCAGUAGUUUGAGUAUCUAAGAACAGGUCAUAAAUUAGUGGGUUUAUGGGAUUAACAGUUCAUUAACCGGGUCAAGACAAAAAAAAGUCCGUGUCUCACUUGCAAGUUUCAGAUAGCCCCCUGAAAUUUGUAGCCACUGUGGCUAUUUACAUUGUCUGUUGAUCUGGUCCAAUUCUGUUGCUGGCUUCUUCCUGUCAGUGGGGACUGGGGAGGUGGGUUAAGAGAUUCUUGUGGGGUUGUCAUGGGGUUGAGUUUGCGGAGAUUCUUGUGGGGUUUGCUAUGCUUGCCUUCAUUUAAUCUGCAGCGGCGCAGGAGUAAAUGACAUGCCAGUGUCUAGUGUUUUGUCCACUUGAAUUUUGCGGGUGCCUAGUCACUUGUGUUGGAGCUUGCGGGUGAGGUGAGAUUUCAGGCAAGAUGUUGUGUGUGGGGGUAGGCUUUCCUGUGCCCUGGAGUUUGGAGAGUGUGGUUGCUUCUUCCGAGCUUCUGUGGGGGGAGGCGGCAUGCCUGUCCGCCUUUAUGAUGAUCGGUUGGUUUUGUUUCAUCUGAUUAGAUGUAAAGCUGUAGCACGCUGGAUUUUGGUGUGAGAGAUGGUGUAGUGACCCUUUCUUUUCUUGUACUACUAAAAAAUAGUCGAGGGCUUAUGAUGGCUGCAUUCAUGGGCUUCUUGUGCCGGUCUGCCCUGGUUCUUUGGCUUUAGGGAGGGGUUUCCGUAACUUCUGCUCUUAUUCGUGCUGAUCUGAGAUAGGGAUAGACAUGAUGAUGUUGUGCCUUUUGGGGGCCUAGCAUGGUACUACUGCUCUGUAUCUUUGUGGGAGAGAGGGUGUUAAACACAGCGCCAUGGGCAUUUUCCAAAGCGUCUUGACUAGAUUUUCAUACUCUGAAUUUCUAAGGGAGAUUGAUAUUUAUUUUGGAACUUUCCGCUUAUACUGUGUGAUGCUCUGAUUGAAGUAGGAUGGGCGUAUUUGCUACCUGGUACCUUGAGCUGAUGAUUAUAUGAAGCUGAGUGUUCCAUCCUUUUGUUUUCUUCAGGGCAUGUUUCUGGGAGAUCAUAACGCCCUAGAUUGAUUAUGGUUCGUCUGUUGCACUUCUUUGGUAACUUGUGAGAACAGGAGAAAAGAGCCAUAGUUCCAAAGGUAAUUUGGUUAGUUCCUUCUUUUGAGCUGUAUGCUGGUAGUUGUGGAGUUGUCAUUGUGUUAUGCACCUGCAGUGAUUGAUAGGACUCUGUUUGAUGUCUAUCAUUACCUCUAUUAUUUUAAGAGGAAGCUAUCAAAUGUAAUGACUUUCAACCAAGGCUAACCAUCAUAUAUUAAGUAUAUUGACAUGGCUUUGACCUUUUUCGUCCAGGAUGUGUAUUAAGUAUACAUUGUCGCUUGGUUGUUGCUCCUUCUCUUCUGCGCCACUUGAAGGAAGAAGACUGUGAAAUUAAAAGGUAUUGACAUGCAAUUACUGUUCCAUUUUGUCCAAAAGUGCAUUCAGCUGUCUUUCAGUCUUGCAAAUUUGCAAACAUAGCUAGGGAAUUGCAUACAUACAGUUCUGGCAUUACAAAAAUUAGGCAUUAUAUGUUCAAAUUCUAAACUCUGAGAAGGAGAUAAACAAACAUAUUAUUAAUGGUCUCCUAGUCGUUUUAAUUUGUCUGUGCUCUUCUUUUAUGACCAACAUAAGAAGAAAUCUUAAUGUUUUGUUGGAGGCUUUUGUUCUUGGACAUAAACUAGCUAUUCGUUUUAGGAUCUGGCUGGUCCAAAACAUUUGAAAACCAGAUUGCCUCUUUAUUUGACUUCUUUUGUAUGUUGAGGAAAAGGUCUAGAACAUAUUAUGUCCUGCAGCUCAUGUUACAUUGACAUGAUAAAAUUAUGCUAGACUUCUGUUUGGAUCUUUUGCAGUAAUAACUUGACUAUUUUCUUCUUGCAGAUUACAAUCAAAACUGUUGGCAAUGGGAUCCCAUGGUUUCUUCACCUUGAUCCUACUUGUAUGUUUUAUCUCAAGCUCUGCCCUUGCUGGACAUAGUGAUAUAAGUACCUUGGUCAACCUGAGGGACGCGAUCACUGAAGGGAAAGGAUUUCUCAGUAACUGGUUUGAUUCAGAAACACCCCCAUGCAGCUGGUCAGGUAUAACUUGUGUGGGGCAUGCUGUUGUGAAAAUAGACUUAUCCUCUGUGGCAAUUUAUGCCCCAUUCCCGUCAUGCGUCGGGUCGUUCCAAUCACUUGUUCAUCUCAACUUCAGCGGUUGUGGGUUUUCUGGUGAGCUUCCAGAUGCUUGGGGGAACUUGCACCAUCUCCGGUACCUUGAUUUGAGUCAUAACCAGCUUACGGGGGCCCUUCCUGUCUCAUUAUAUGGACUGAGUAGGUUGGAAGAACUGAAGCUUGACAAUAAUUUCUUUUCUGGGCAAUUGAGUCCUGCAAUUGCACAGCUUCAGUACCUUAAGAAGCUAUCUGUAUCCAUGAAUUCCAUCUCUGGUACCCUUCCUCCAGAGCUGGGCAGUCUGCAGAAUCUGGAGUUCCUGGACCUUCACAUGAAUGCAUUCAAUGGGUCAAUACCAGCAUCUUUGGGUAAUUUGUCUCGGCUGUUGCACCUUGAUGCAAGCCAGAAUAAUCUUGGUGGGUCAAUAUUCCCAGGAAUAACUGCAAUGGCAAACCUUGUGACAGUCGAUCUCUCUUCAAAUGCCUUGGUGGGGCCACUACCUAGGGAGAUUGGUCAGCUACAGAAUCUUCAAUUGUUAAUAUUGGGACAUAAUGGUUUCAGUGGAAGCAUUCCAGAAGAGAUUGGUGAACUAAAGCUGCUGGAAGAGCUUAUACUCCCCGGAUGCAAACUCACAGGUAUCCCUUGGACAGUUGGUGGUCUCAGAAGUUUAAAGCUACUCGAUAUAUCAGGGAAUAAUUUUGAUACUGAACUCCCAGCAUCUAUUGGCAAUCUGGGAAAUCUGUCUCGUCUACUUGCAAAGGGUGCUGGGCUCAGUGGGAAUAUUCCGAGAGCACUUGGUAGCUGCAAGAAGCUUGUGCAUGUUGAUCUGUCUACCAACUCCUUUUCUGGCUCUAUACCUGAAGAACUUGCAGGUUUAGAAGCCAUUGCCAAUUUUAAUGUGGGACAGAACAAUCUGUCUGGUCAGAUUCCAGAAUGGAUCCGGAACUGGGUGAAUCUUCGCUCCAUAUCGCUGGGGCAGAACAUGUUUUAUGGACCCCUGCCAGUGCUGCCAUUGCAGCAUCUGGUUGCUUUCUCUGCGGAAACCAACAUGCUCUCUGGUUCUAUUCCUGUUGAGAUAUGCAAGGGCAAAUCGCUGCAGUCGCUGAUAUUGCACAAUAAUAAUCUGACUGGGAAUAUCAUGGAGGCAUUUAAAGAGUGCAAGAAACUUACAGAACUUAACCUGCAAGGAAACCAUCUUCAUGGUGAGAUACCCCAGUACUUGUCUGAGCUACCACUAGUAAGUGUGGAAUUGUCCCAAAAUAACUUAACAGGGAAGCUGCCUGAAAGUUUGUGGGAAUCAUCGACUAUUCUGGAGAUCGCACUCAGCUACAAUCAGCUUACUGGCCCUAUACCUGAAAGCAUAGGUAGGCUCUCCAGUUUGCAGAGGCUACAAAUCGACAGUAACUACCUGGAAGGAUCUAUCCCGCGGUCAAUCGGCGCUCUAAGAAAUCUGACAACUCUCUCUUUACAUGGCAAUAGGCUGUCUGGGAACAUUCCACUAGAGCUCUUCAACUGCACAAACCUUGUUACCCUGGACCUGAGCUCUAACAAUCUGUCUGGCCACAUCCCAAGGGCCAUAUCUCAGUUGACAUUUCUUAACACCCUGAAUUUGUCUAGUAACCAGCUGUCUGGUGCUAUACCUGCUGAGAUCUGUGUCGGAUUUGGGAAUGCAGCUCACCCCGACUCGGAGUUUACUCAGCAUCACGGCUUGCUUGAUCUUUCAUACAACCGAUUGACCAGUCAUAUCCCAUCAGCGAUCAAGAACUGUGCUAUGGUUACAGUGCUAAACCUGCAGGGAAAUAUGCUGAGUGGCACCAUUCCACCAGAGCUUGGUGAACUGGCAAAUGUUACAGCCAUCUAUCUUUCUGAUAACACAUUAGUUGGCUCGAUGCUUCCCUGGUCUGCACCAUUACUACAACUGCAAGGCCUUUUUGUCUCUAAUAACCACUUAGAUGGCUACAUUCCUACUAAUAUUGACCAAAUACUUCCCAACAUUGCUAAGCUAGAUUUAUCAAGUAAUGCAUUUACUGGGACUCUACCCGAGUCUUUACUGUGCGUCGAUGACCUGACCUAUCUGGAUGUUAGUAAUAACAGCCUCUCUGGACAAAUCCCAUUCUCAUGUCCUAAAGAAAAGGAAUCCUCAAGCUCACUGAUAUUCUUCAACGGAAGCAAUAACCAUUUCUCAGGGAACUUAGAUGAGUCUAUUUCAAACUUCACAAAACUGUCUUCUCUCGAUAUCCACAACAAUAGCCUCACUGGAAGUUUGCCUUUUUCACUUUCUGGUCUCAGUUAUUUGAACUAUCUUGACCUCUCAAGCAACAACUUCCAUGGCGCCAUCCCUUGUGGCAUCUGCAAUAUAUUUGGCCUCACAUUUGCCAACUUCUCUGGUAAUCACAUUGGCAUGCACACCUUAGCAGAUUGUGCUGCAGAAGGCAUUUGUACUGGAAAUGGUUUUGAUCAUAAGAUGCUUCAUCCAUCUGAUCGAAGAGUUCCAAGAGGAGCAAUUGUUUGUGUUAGUAUAAUCAUUGCCAUUGUUGUCUUAGUGGUUCUGGUGGUUCUUGUGAGAUGGAAGCUAUUGAGAAACAGACCAUUGGCUCUUGUACCUGCCAGCAAGGCCAAGGCUACUGUUGAACCAACCUCAAGUGAUGAACUCCUAGGGAAGAAGUUUCGAGAACCCCUGAGUAUCAAUCUUGCAACAUUUGAACAUGCACUUUUGAGGGUCACUGCAGAUGACAUUCUGAGAGCCACAGAGAAUUUCAGUAAGGUGCACAUCAUAGGGGAUGGUGGGUUUGGCACUGUCUACAGGGCAGCACUUCCUGAAGGCCGGAGAGUCGCAAUCAAGAGGCUUCAUGGUGGUCAUCAGUUCCAAGGUGAUCGUGAGUUCCUGGCUGAAAUGGAGACAAUUGGAAAGGUGAAACAUCCUAACCUUGUUCCUCUACUUGGCUACUGUGUGUGUGGUGAUGAAAGGUUCUUGAUAUAUGAGUACAUGGAGAAUGGGAGUCUUGAGAUGUGGCUCAGGAACCGGGCUGAUGCCAUCGAAGCACUUGGAUGGCCAGACCGCCUGAAGAUCUGUCUCGGUUCUGCCCGUGGGCUUUCGUUCCUCCACCAUGGCUUCGUGCCCCAUAUCAUCCACCGUGACAUGAAGUCAAGCAACAUUCUAUUGGAUGAGAACUUUGAGCCGAGGGUCUCUGACUUUGGCCUUGCAAGGAUAAUCAGCGCAUGCGAGACUCAUGUCAGCACUGACAUCGCUGGUACGUUUGGCUACAUACCUCCAGAGUACGGCAUGACAAUGAAAUCCUCUACCAAAGGUGAUGUCUACAGCUUUGGUGUUGUCAUGCUGGAGCUUCUCACUGGACGCCCACCUACAGGGCAAGAGGAGGGGGAAGGGGGUGGAAACCUAGUUGGCUGGGUGCGGUGGAUGAUUGCACAUGGUAAGGAGCAUGAACUGUUUGAUCCUUGCUUGCCAAUAUCAAGCUUGUGGCGGGAACAGAUGGCCUGUGUGCUUGCCAUUGCCCGGGACUGCACUGCUGACGAGCCAUGGAAGAGGCCAACCAUGCUGGAGGUGGUGAAGGGCCUCAAGAUGGCCCAGACAAUGGAAUGUGGACCUCCGGUGGUGACAAUUACUAGGGACGUGUAAUGCCGGAGGUGAAUGUUUUCUUGCUAUUGAUGUAAUAAUGUAAGUUCCUUGUAGCUGUAGAGUGAGCUGUCCGGUGGCUGUAAUGAGAGAAACUAAUGCUGCUCAUGUUCAGGCUGUAGUUACUCAUGUAACCUUUUAAUCUGGCCCCAGUCAGUUUCUUAUCUUGUAUUCAAUUGGCAGGGUGUGUUUCAUAAGCUCAGAAGCUGCAGUGGCUAAGUUUUUCGUUUUCCCUGUGUUGAAUUACUUAAUAGAAUUGACAGUACUAGAUUCAUCCUUAUUUCUGUCAGAUCCAGCUCCUGUUUUUUUUUCCUCCAUUCUACUUUGUUGCCGUUUGUGCCGCUGCUUUGACUGAAAGUACUUCUUGCUGUUUUACCUGUAUAUACUUGAGUGCUAGGUCAUUUUGACUUUAUUAGAUUCAUAGAUUUUGCUAUCUACUGGGAUAUACCCUAUGUCAAGAUGCAUAAUAAUAUCUAUGCAUCUAUAUGCAUCUUGAAAAGCCAAAACGGCCUAUAAUUUGGAACGGAGGGAGUAUUACAAAACUGCUAGCACUAUGCUCAUAGUCCUUGCUCAGAUUCAGCUCAUGCUGUUUCGUCCUGAUUUCCCAGGUAUUGUUACUGGUGCUACUGCUGUGUAGGAAUUAUUAUGCAACUUUGCCGGGCUGAAGCAAAAAAAUGAUUUAAGGACCCAGGGAGAUGAGAAUGAAGCACCGAAGCGGAUGGACAAGUAGAGCACUAGCAGCGAAGUGAGGAAGUGCUCUUGUCUGUAUUCAAUCUGGCUCGGCGUCUGGGACCUCUACAUUCCCUGAAUCAUGCAGACCACUCCACUGACUGCUGUGGUAUUGGCAGGCGAAGAGAAGUGAAUGUCCUCAAGGCUUCAGGGAGUCGCUGGGACAGCUGGGUGAUGCAGCAAUGGAUAUUUGAGCAUUCAGAUAGCUCGGAUCAUGACUCCAGAGUCAUGACUGACUGGAGGGUCGAGCUUGAUAUUCAGGUGGCUCCGGUAGCUUACGGGUUGGAGCAGACCUGGAGAUGCAAUCUUACAUUGCGGCAGCUUAUAUGCUUAUUCACCUGGCGAAAAUUGCAGCAUCUGAUGAUGUAUCCUGAAAGCCAAAAAGGAAAGGGGACAAAUAAAGGCAAAACAAGGGCAAAUUCGGGACAGGUCAAAUUCUGCGGAGGCAAAGCAAGGCGGCCGAAACACAGCCGAUUGCAUCAGUGGGCUGGAAUCAUUUAGGCCCAAUUAAAACCCACUGCAAAUCCACUAGAGUCAGGCAAGCGCUCGCUGUGCUGCAGCUGCUGUAAGAAGAUCCGCUCCCGCUCAAAAUAAUUUUUUUUUUGUGCUCGGUGCAUGUUGAACUCAACUAAUAAAACAAGAAACGGGUCAACAGGCAGGUGAUAGAUUAAUAAUCUGUAAACAAAUGCCGUAGACAAAGCAAGCAAUUAGUUCCGCAGGCGCGCUGGUAAAACACACACGGCGACCAACUAAACAAAGAGACGAGCGGCAGCUUUGUUGCGUAUCCAUGUGCGCAUUGCGGAAGCAGACGGCAUCGACCUGAGGUGGCAGCAAGACCAAGCGGUAGCCAACAAACGCCCGUGCCGGGGACUCAGUUUUUUUCAGAACAGGAACCGAUGCCGCCGGCUCGAACAACAGACAAGAGCGUGGAGCUGCAAGUAGCCAACUCGGUAGCAGCUGGGACUGAUUGAGCUUGACUGCUUGAGUGCCACAGGAGGAGGUAGGCAGGUCACCAAACCCUGAAAGGCCUGAAACCCAUUGCCUACUGCUGCUGCUGAUUGCGGCCACGCACGCCCACUGUUCCGUGGGACCCAGCGGUAUCGUUAUCGUUCGUUUCGCCUCGGCAAACAAAACCGCUGAUCAGUGGGAGCAAGUGGUAAUGGUAACUGGUAUCGAUAUCGUACGAUCGCAUGAGACCCCAACGGCUGAGAUGCACGCAUCUGCAGCGACGGACGACGCUACAGCCCCGUUCCGUACGAACAGGGCACAGCCACAGCCCACAGGUACGCGUGUGAUCCUACACGUGACCGGUCGUAAAUGAAACGCGUCUGAAACCGGGUCACAUGACGUUGGACGCGCGCGCGCGAGCGCUGGCCACCACCACUCCCCGUCGCGGCCUCGCCCAUGGCCCGUUGCCUACGCGAAAACCCCCGUCACCCUGCCCCCGGAUCGCGUAGCAUCUGCCCUGACCCCCCGGCCCCGAGCGUAGCAGUGGAGUGUACUCCACACAAGUCCGUGUCUGAUCGUAUCGGCCGGCCGGCCGGCCGCCGGCCUAAUUAAUCGGCCACCAAACAAACCCUUCCUUCCUGGGGCUGAGCGUGAGCGCGGGGCCUGAUCGGGAGGAGGGGGACGGCGAGUUAAGAGCGGCCGUCGAGGGUCACGCAGCGCCAGCGCGGACGGACGACGGCGCGUCCGGCGAUGGGGUUUUAUUGCUGUCACGGACACGUACGCCUCCGCAGCUCCGCUGCCCCUACGGGCGCGCGGUUUCCGUUGCGGACCAAAUCCAGCAAGUACGGGACAGCAGCGCAUUGGGGGGACGGGAGAGUACGGGACCAUGGAAAUUGAACAGUGCCUGUCGCCCGGACCUGCUUGGCAGUGAUGUCGAAAAAAUACCGAAAUUUACAGAUUCUCCGUGCAAGCAUUGGUCGGUAACUUUGUGCAAGGAAAACUGUGAGAUUCUAAAUUGGGAUCUGCUCUGCUCGCCGGAAUGAGGACGGAGGAAGACGGCUUUGAUUAGUUGAGGCGUCCCAAUCGGGUCACGUGAACCGGAAGCGUCCAAGCCAACCAGAGCGAAGGCGGUGGUAUGGCAGCACGCCAUGCAUUUGGAAGGUUUUGGGCCUGUGAGCGCGACGGGCACGACGCUGCCGCAGAUGUCCGGGAGGAGCCAGCACUACUGGCGGGGGCAGACUGUUCUAUCCUAUCCAGUUUUCGCGUCAGAUGCCAAGCUCAAGCCACGGACAGUUCGGAUUUAUAAGCUGGCUGAAAAGUUGAAACGCCUGAUUUGUUGUGAGAGAAAAACACUGUUCAGUGACUGAUAAGCUGGCUGAAUAAGCUGAAGCGAACAGACCCAAGCCACCCACCCUAGGUUGCGAUCACUGGCAGUUUGUGACCACGAUGUGACCUCUGGGGUUUGCGCUUGUAGCGGCGAGCACUGGAACGUGUGCUUCGGCAUGAUCCUACAUGCAUGGUCAGGUCACGGGAGUGGACUUCAGAUGCUGCAAUGCUGCGUGAUGGGUACAACUACAAGGCAUAAAAUUGGAGUGGUAAAACUCACUGGAAAGCUCGUGAAUAGACAUCCUGUGCAGUACACGAACUUGUACGAGCGGACAAAUCGCCAUGGGAGUUCUUCUAGCACUAGCACACACAGAGGAGGAAUAUUUCAAAUUUGGAUUGAGCCAUGAGCCUGGAGAAGUCACCCCUCGAGAUCAGAAAACCAGAUUCCACACCCCAACCGCAAGCCAGAAGCCGGAACACGCACUCGCUCCCAUAAACGGCAUGCAUGCAUGGGCGCCGGCGCCCAGAGGAUAAACAACGCCGCUGCUCCUUGGAGCUCACGCCACAUGAUCCGAACCGAGCACACCACCACGACGACCACACCUGGUACGUACAUCCCCUGACGCACUGACUGACCCCUGGCCUCGUGACCGCGGAACAGUGGCCGUGCACGCGCGCAUUCACGACCCCUCACAUGGACGAAGCCAUCGACGCGGCCGGGUGAAAGGGACCCGAGCCGAGCCGAGCGAGGCCAGGCCGGCAGCGGCAGCGCACGGCCGGCCGGCGCCGUGGACGCAAACCGCCGAGACGCGCGCGGCCGCGGAUCACAUGCGCGCGGCGCGCCCGAACCCGCGCCGCAACAGUCGGCUCGGCAGCCUAGCCCAACCAAACCCAACCACCGAGGCAGACCACAGAGUGAGGGCAAUCGGACAAACAAUAAACCCAUGGAGUACCGUGUAAAGCGAACAAUUAAGAUUUUUUCGUAAUGGCGGUAGUAAGGAACAGGAGGAGAAGUGAAGGCAACAAGUAGCAAGCCAACAAGAAAAAUCCCCGGGGAAAAAGUGGGCUACGUACAGCGCACCAGCAGCAAUGGCCAAAGCACAAGCAAACGAAGCAUGCACCAACUCCGACGACACGGCGACGACCAGGACGGACGGAGAACGGGCGGGAGGAGGAGCCGAGGAAGGCAGCCACGGAGCCACGCACCCCAGGCGCUCCCUCGCUCGCUCGAGUCCGUCCCCACCCUGCUCCACAUGGGGACGGUCGGAGGUGGACGGCAGAAACGGACGACGGCCUGUGACGACUGACGAGCCGAGAGCGUACCAUGUACCUACUCCCCCUGGCUUGACGCGGCGCUAGCUGUGGCGCCGGUGGGGGCCGCUGGUGCCGGCGGCGGCCUGGGCGGCCAUGGCGAGCUCGAACUGCCGCAUGUCGAGCGCCGGCAGGGGCAGCGGGUACUGCUCCGGCGGCUGGUGCUGGUGCUGGGUCGCCGGCGCGGCGGCGGCCGAGGUGGACGCGGACGCGGACGAGGAGGAGGAGGAUGCCGGUGGUGGGGGCGGCGCGGCGCGGUUCCAGGAGCGGAGGCUGGUGGUGGUGCUGGUGCUGCCGUCCCAGCCGAUGUGCGCCACGUGCUUGACGUCCGUGGGGAGCCCGAUCACCAUCUCCCGUUCCUCCUCCUCAUCGUCCUCGUCGUACACCGCGAAGAUCUGGGACAGGUUCUUGAACCCGCGGAGGAGCCGCGCCACCAGCGACUCCCCCUUGCCCGCCGCCGCCGCCGCCGCCGGCCUCGCCGACGCGCCGCCCGGCACGACCCCGAACUCAAUCCCUGCUACAUGUCAAUCAAAUCGAGAAGCUUCAGUAACUUGCACGCGACACGCAUGGCGGCCAGGCGGCACGGGAAAGAAUCAAAGCUGCUUGUUCCUGUCAAUUGGCACAGCACGCACGUACCUUGCGGGUGGGGCUUCUUGCCGGCGUGGCGCGCGGUGUCGACGACGUCGACGCUGGAGUGGGAGCGGCAGCCGGAGGAGAAGGGGAUGGCGAUGAACCGUCGCGGCGGCUGGUCCUUGCUCAUGGCAGGCACUGCUGCUGGAUUAUCCACGUUUGGACAGCCGCGCGGCGCCGAACCCAACCGGAACUGCCCCUUGACCUGCUGACUGCUGUUGGAGCAAGCACCAAGCCGAGCAGAUAGCAGCAGCGGCAGCCGGGCAGGUAGUGAGCCUUUACUCCAGCGAAAAGGGCGCGUUAGGUCCGCACGCGCGCGCCGCAGCACUGGCCCCGCCGGCCACUGGUCGCCCGCCAAGUUCGUUGCAGCGCAGCGCAGCAGGGGAAGAGGCGAGCGGAGCGGAGGAGGGCAGCCGAAUACUAUAGGCGUAGUAGGCGUAGAAGUGGUGGCGCCACUACCAUGGCAUACAGCCUACUGCUCCUACUUCUAUAUUGACGUGGCCGCGGCGCGGCGCGGUGUGUGCCACUGCCAGUGCUCUCCUCUGUGGGGGUAGGAAAGAGACGGGGCGCGGCGGGGCCGGAGUGGUUUGCGGAUGGGGUUUGGGUUGGGUGGGUUGGUGUUGCUGUUGGGUUCGGUACCCACGCCACCCGAACCCCAACGCCUUUGCGCCGGGUGCAAUUGCGAUUUGCAAAUGCCGCAGCGGGCAGGUCGCGGCAGACAUGCGCACUGAUGGGCGGAUGGGCUUGGUUGGGUGUGCGCGCUGCAGCCGGAGCGAGCGAGCGGCCGCCCCGCCGGCGGCUCCGUUCGUGCGCCUGGGACGACCUGGACCAGCGCGAGCGCCCAACUGCUCCUCCACAGCCCUCGCAUCUCCUCUCUCUCAGUGGCCGCCGCUCCGUGCCGUGGAGAAGGGCAUCAGCAGAGUCUCCCGAAGUCUGAACCUUCGGUGGACCAAUGCGGCGUGGACGCUCCCGUGGUCCUGGCGGUGUGACGGUGUUCAUGUCACGUCCCGCGAUGUUUCCAGAUUCCAGCUUUGCCAGUGGGCCAUUGGCACUGGCUACGGGGAUGGAUUUCCGGUGUCGUUUUACCUUGCUAAUCGGCCUGCUCUUGUUUGUACUCGCGUACAUCAUUACUGAAUACACAAUGAAAGAAAGUCCCCGUAACAUGAGUGCGAUCGUAUUAUCCGUUUUGGGAGAAGUUCAGGUAUGAUAAAGACCUGCUACGCAAGCAAGCAGACGAAGUUUAGACGAGUUCCUUCGAUAGACAAGGGGAUACUGUUCAACGAAAGGAAGAAAGAAUAGUGGCUCAGUAUCUUUGCUUCUCUAUGGAAAAAAAAAUGAAAAAGGAAUACAAGACAACCAGGAUCCAGUAACAGUAAACUGUUGACUACCUCAUGGGCUUACCCACAGCGAGAUGGGCCGGAAAAUUAUGGACAAAAAAUUUGUGGAGCAGCAUGAAGCAACCGGGCGGGCUGUGACUUAACUUCUCUUGGGCCUAAUAUAACACUCAGAUCAAGGGAAGGGCCCAUUUGUUUCGAAUAGUGUGUGUGAUUGUGUGAAUACGCGCAUCUCUCAAUCUCUUCUCCUCCAUGUCACGUGGACUCUUUUACUCUGCCAUCCUGCCCCCAUUUCGGUGCCGUAUUUUUCUUCGGAAGAGUAUGCAUAAGUAUUGGGAUGAACUGGUGGUGUUAAGAAAAUGCACAACAGGGGUCGUGACUCGCGAGAAGACAAAAGCUGAGAAGAUUAGGCUUAGAAUUGGACCGUGAACAAAGUUUUGUUAUCAUCAGAUGGUGACAGGAACAAUUUGGCAGUUCAGUUCCAACAUCCAACCAAGAAAAAUAAGGACAGGGUAGAUGCUCAUGUGAUCAAACAAGCGGAUGCUUUGGAAUAGAACAGGUAUAAUCAUUGGCUCUUGGUGCUGGUUAGUCAAACCUAACAAUCACUCUGAAAUGUAGCUAUACUGCUAUACACGCAUUGCGUAAUGUCAUUUUUAUUGCAUCGUAACAUACUUGAACAAUCAAUCACAUCCCAAAAAAAAUUGUAUGAAGCAGCAAACACCAGUUUUGGUGUUCGCCAGCUCAAACAGCUUGAUCGAUCAUUUGAAUUCACCUAAGGGUUUCAACUUCACGGAUUCCAUAGUGGCGGCAAUUCACCGCUCACUUCCUCCUCUAAGAAGAAGCACAGGAAGAUCACGGUGAAGGUGAGGAUGCGAUGGACGUGAAGAGAGCCUAGAUAAUAUAUAAGGCAACGGCGGCGAGCUCGAUCCAUCAGAAGAUGUCGAGGAUCUCCUGGAUGAAUCCGUUGCAGAGCGGGCAGUUGCCGCGGCUGACCCAGAGCUCGCGGGAGCAGAGCCGGCAGAAGGUGUGGCCGCAGGGAAUGAAGGCCGCGCCCUUGUGCCGCACCAUGCACACGCAGCACACGUGCACCAUCUCCUCCUCCCGCCCCUCGCCGUCGUCGUCGUCGUCGUCGCCCUCGCCGUUCUUCCGCGCGCCGCCGCCGCCGCCCUCGUCGUCCUCGUCGUCGUCCCACUGGCUGUCCGACUGCUCCAGCAGCGCCAUCAGCGACAUCUGCGCCGCGGGCGCCUCCUCCUUGCCUUCCUCCUCCUCCUCCUCGUGUCCCUCAUCAUCCUCGUCAUCGUCAUCUUCCUCCUGGUCGUCGCCGCCACCGUCGUCGUGGCGUUCCUCGUCGAGAUCGCGGAAGUUGUACGUCGCGGGGCGCCUGGAGCUGGACCGGGAGGAGGCGGGGCCGACCCGGGUGGACGCGACGCGCGAGAACGUGGGCGUCGCGCGGAGCGAGGGCGCGCGGGAGAAGGUGCGGGAGAACGCCGCCGCCGCCUCGCCGGGGGAGUAGUUGUACCUGUUGCUGCGGCUGUUGGCGCUGCUGCUGUUGCUGAGGUCGCCGCUGUUCGUCGGGGCAUGGGCCGCGGGCGCGGGCGCGCGGGGCUUGGGCGGCGGCCAUGCGGCCGCCGCGCGGCGGAGCCGGAGCCGGUCACGGAGCGGCUUCCAGCCACUCGUCCCGCCGCCGCCCGCGGCGUCUCCGGCCGCGGGGCUCCCGCCGACGUCGGCGUCGUGGGGGAUCUUGAGGAAGUCGCGGAUGGCCGGGUCGGACGUGGACAACUGCUCGGAAAGCGUCAUGGUCCGCCGCAUCUCCGGCCGCCGGCCGUCCAUCUCUUCGCUAGGUCGCCGCAGCCGGUUGGUGCCUGGUUCGCGUCGAUCGGGGGUGUUGGAGGCGAGUCGAUAAGGUGGCGGUAGAUGCGGGGAGGUGGCGUCUUAUGGCCGGGUUGGAUCGCGCGCGAGGAGGGGGGGAAGGAGAGAAAGAGCCAGAGAGGCGUUGUAUUUGUACAGGGCAGGUUGGAGCGGGUCUCGCGGGCUUUUUAAACGGGGGCUAAACAAUUACCGCAACGUGCGGGGGAUGGGGCCACAAUUACCGUGCUGCCAUACUGCCAUGCAUGCGUAAUCGCCGGCCUUCCUUUUUUAGGGUAGGGGAGUUCUCAAGAUGUGUAGCACCAUGCACCAAUUUUGGGAGCGUCUGGGCUAUUUGCAGCACCAAUUUUAGGUGCCAUAUAGAUCUGGAAUUUCAAUUUUCGAGAUGAUUGAAACAUAUGUUGGGACUUGGGACUGACAAUAAACCAGAAACGCACCCAACUUUUGGUUUGUAGACACUCUCCUUGGUGAGAAUUUUGCAAAAAACAAAAAGAACUUGACAAUUUUUCUUUUGAUUAGACAGCAUGAGCUGGAAAUUAAAAUAGGCCUUUUCCUGAAUCUUACUUGGUUACAUAUUUCUGUUUGCCACCUGCCAAGCUAUGAAUUUGAAUCUACCCACAGUAAAUUUCUAGUGUUCAGAGUACAGAUGAUAAUCCGAAGAAGAGUAAGCAUUUCCUGAAAGUAAAUUUCUUGUGUUCACAGUAAAUUUCCUGAGGUGGCUACUUGAACGGAUUAUGCGCGGUGCGUCUAAGCAACGGCAUGUCGACAACGGGUACUGGUUUUUCGUUCUUUACUGUUAACCACGCAUAAGAGUACGCUGAACCUCGAAAUACGUCACAAUUUUUUAACCGCUUUGACAGUGACAGAAAAUAGUAGAAAAGAACAGAUUGUACCACCCUAGUUCUUUUACGAUUUCCUCAAUCCAAAACUUCGUCAAAAUUAAAUCUUCGUGCGUGCGUGAUUCUACCAUUGAGCGUAGCUGCUCAAGUUUAUGAACGUUUAGUGUCGCCGACUCAACGAUGAAGUCCAAACAGGGGAGAUGUACACUCGAAGCUCCCCAUUCGUCCUCCAUCAGAGCAUCAUGAUAGCUGUCCGGUUUGGUGUUUGGUUGGAGAAGGACGACGACGACGACGACGACGACGUCGCUGCUACCAGAUAACCUACCCGCAUUAUGUAUUGUAGGUGGCCGCGUACGUGCGCGUGUUUGGCGGUAUGUGCGGAAGCCUUCGAUUUUGAUAGGUCUGGCUGGCCAUUAGAAAAAAAGAAAGCUCAUAGACCCGCUCUGCACGCUGCCCUGCUGCUGCACUGACGCUAAUCAAUCCCUCUUGCAGAUUGCUAUUGCAACCACUCCAGUUGACCUCUCCACAGCUACUGAUCGGGUAAGGCUUAUUGGCACGGCCGGAUCUUCACUGUUGAGGUGUAAUUGGGGAGCGUGAAGGAGUUAGGUGAGGCGGCGUAGUCUGCAAGAGAAUUUUACUUGCCAUCUCCUGCUGCCCCGCAGUCUGAACUGAACGUCUGUCAGGUCCUUGCACAUGAUUUGCCAUCAAGGUAUUUUCAUUGCAACAUAGGGAAAUAGGGAAUCAUUAGCACCAAUGCACUAUACUGGUUCACGAGAGCGAUGAUCCGAGCGACAGUGUUCCAUGUGAGAUGAUGAUUGCAAUUUGGAGUGCCAAUAAUGCUCCGCGCUACGAAACAGAACAAGACCGUGCACUGGAGAAAUGCCAAAACCAGCAUUCGGAUUGGAUCCGGCGGAGCAGCAAAGUCUCGGCUGGGGCAGCCCUUGUUCUUCGCAGGAACGACACGAGGCGCCAUGAUGAGGAAGGAGGAGGGGACGGGUGGUUGGGCUGCCCCGGCACCUGUCGCUCCGCGCGCCCGGGAAACGCUGCGCCACCAACAAGCUGUGAGAGUCUCCACCGCCAGCCUGUGGCCGUUGUUGGCCGGGUUCGUUGCCUCCGCCUCCUCCUCCUCCCCGACGGCAACGGCGACGGCACGUGCGAGCUUGCUGUUAUGGGCCGGCAGGGAAGCCAGAUCCCGCCUCGUGUUCCCCCGUAGCGUAGAGCUUUGGCUGUCGUCUGUCUCAGUCUCGCAACCAAGUUGUUGUCAUAUCUUUAGAGGCGCCAACGACUUUGCUGCUGCCACUUAGUAUGGAUUGGGAAGAGAUCCGUCAGCGUCUGACGGAUGGGUGUUUAGUUGUUUGCAGAAAUAUAGUGAGUGGUAUUUCCGUGUCCAAACGGCAACAGGUGGCGGCUACUUCAACUGACAUGGCAGCACUGUCUUGCAGCUAACGGAAAUGUUGUGUGAUUUCAUCGCUAAUGUCCUGUUGCUAAGCCUUUGACAAUGGCUGACUAGAAGCCAAUAAGCCAUACGCUCUUUGAGCAAGAAAGGAAGAAAGAAAAAAUAGGAAAGGAAAAGGAAAAAAAAGGAGUGGUCACGUUUCAAAGAAAAGAAAGAGUGGUCGUAUCCAAAUGAAAUUGAAACAGGACAGUUCCAUUCAACCGGAACGCAGUGGCAGUAGACAUACGGGCGCGUCAAUCCGUGCCGCUGUCGCUCCCAGGUCCGGGCGUCCGGCCUUGCGCACGGCAUCGACGGCGAUUGGCGACCGUGCCGGGGCCCGGCUCGCCCGCGCGGCGCGGAGCUCAGGCGCGGGCUCCCGUUCGCCCGGGGCCUCCUGACGAGCCCUGCCCUUGGGCUCCGGCUCGUUCGUCAGGUGCAGUGUGCACCCAGCACCAGCAGCGUCGCUGUCACAAGGCCAGCAAAGGACACCAGCGCCGUUGCCGUGCCGUCGCCCGGACGACGAGCAACAGAUGGACCAGCUAUCGUUUCGCCAGGGAUCCGGCAUAAGAUCUUGGGCGCACUUGCGAAUCCUGACAGCCGCUCGCAAGCCAAGGACACAGGACGGGAGACGGGACCAUGGAUGCGUUUGCAAGGCUGCAGAUGUCUCAUGGACCGAGUGCCUCACACUGAUCCAAUCCGGACUCUUACCGAUGAGCAGUGACACAACAGCGGCGAGCAGCCUGUGGGCAGCCUUGUUACUCUCCUGCUAUGCUGGGAGUCCUUGCAUUGGACAGACAUGAACAUCUGAAGCCAUUUGAAGCCGUUGGACAUCACAUCUGAUCAAGUUUCAGACAUGAACAGAACAGCCCAAUCAACAGGAAACAGAAAGGAAGUUCAGUCUGUCAGGCUCACAUCUGGCAGAUUUUAUAUAAUAUCACCAAACCAAUAUGUCCAUACUUAUCAGGUUACAACCAACUAUUUAGCCUUUGAACAACAGAAAAACAAGCACACUUGCGACACCCCUAGUACAUGCGUACACACACGCUCUAUCUAAUACCUAUCCCAUAAAAAGAAACAGCAAGCACGGGCAAAUGCUCCCCAAGGGGGGAAAUGUUACAAUCACUCUACUAAGGCUAAGGGUAUGCAUUUCUUCGGCCACAGACCAAUUGGGGGCAAACCCAGAGCGCCAGAAAUGCAAAAUCAAAUCUCCUACUGGGCACCGUGCAUCGCAAUGGUCAGCUUAGCCUAUGGUUCUGGUGAUCGUGAUGCUUCCCUUCCCCCCCUCGGUGUGGAUCUUCGUCUUGUGGACCACGGGUUUCCCAGAGAUAGCCGAAGCUUGGUGCGAGUUUGGUUCCUCGUCGUUCUUGUGCUUGAUCUUGUAUGGCGGCGGGGCGUGGAUCUUCUCGUUUAUGUCAUUCAGCGUGAUGUGGCCAUUGAUACUGCAUGGCUUGAUAAGCUCGAAAGGGAAGGCCACUGACGUUCUCACCUUCUUUGCUCUGAUGAUAUUUCUUCCAGCUAUGGAACAGAUAAAAGUGAACGAGUUCAAUAGGCAGGAAGUACGACCGAUAUGCAAUGUUCUUGAAAAGGAAGAAUAAAAGCCACGGUGCUUUAAGCAAACUGUACAAGAGUUAGGCACACCUUUCAGAGGUGUAGGUCCAGCUUGAGCAGGGUUGUUGCGAACUAUGAUAGCUUGUUCACAAGGCAAAGAAUUCUGAUGCACUGAAAAUAAGCAUAGCAUUGAUUUUAUCAGCAACUUUGAAUCUGCUAUAAACGGCAAUACUGAAAACUCAUGAGAGGUUUGUACCAACCAGAGAUAUCGUUGACUUUUUCCACAGCAGUAGCAGGGCUAGUCCUGUUAAGGAGGUUCAGAAACCAUAAGAAGCAAUAUUGAAUCUUCAAUGGCAAUUAAUUAAACAACUAAUAAAGCCAAGCACUUAUGGAUCGGAUUACGUACAUUUCUUCAGCUGGGAGAUGAGGCUCGCUAUCUUGUGAGCAAUUAACUAACCAUUCUUCUGGCAGUUCAUCUGUCCCGUCAGAGUUCAAUAAACAGUUGGCACCUGGAGUUACCACUAUAAUUAGGAGGAACGGGAAAGAACGCACCCAGACUAAACACCAAAAGCCUAACAGAGAUGAUUGAACAUACCUUGAAAAUCCAUCACUUGCAGACUUUCUGAAAGCCCACCAUCAGUAAUAGGACAGGUCAUCUGGAAUAAGAAAGGCAUUAUACCAAAGAAGUCAAUACAACAUACCACUGCAUCUAAUAAUCAAAUUGACACAGUUGCUGACAAUAAAAACACUAUGAAGUUCACUUCAUUUUAAGAAGGGGGGCAUUGAUAGAUCCAUCAUAGAGCAUAUACCUCAAUAUUUUCAGGACAGAACUGCAGCAUGCGUCUGCGUUUAGCCUGUAAAGUUUCCUUCCCUUCUUCAAAGUCCUUGACGAUGAUAUCUACAUUCAAUCUUAACUGUUUCAGAAAAUGCAACUAAUAUUGAAGCACAUUUUCAGUGUUUGACAAAAAGGCCAGACGAAAUAUAAUUAGGAAAUACCAAGUGGAAUCCAUUGCUAUAAUUAGAUCACAUCCUACAUAAUUGCAUAUAGGACAAUUUUAACACGGGUUCGAAGUAAACAUGUGCAAGAGGGAAAUGACAACCAGCUGACUUUUUAUUUUAUUAGUCAUUCUGCUUUGUAUAUGUACACUUGUGGAGUUACAAGUUACUAUGGUUAUUACGAGGUAGCGUCAUUAACACAAUUUCAGAGAGCUGAGAGAAUUUGAUAACAUUUUUUUCUUGAACACAAUUAGAUAACAUAUUAACGUGCAACUGGUUGUAUGCAGACUGGUUCAGUACAGGUCAUUGGCAAUUGAAAACCAUUUAUGCAGAUAACUUGGUGAAAUUGUUCAGAAUAUACAUUUAAGGUGAUAACUGUUGAUUUCAUAACCAUGAGAACAAGACAUUACCUCCUAUAUCACAGAACUGAAAUUCAAAGUCUGUACAAUGUUUAAUUGGAGUUUGCUCAUCAAACAUGCUCCAAUCAUCACCCACACUGUUGCUUGCUUCAGCCCACAAACUGCUGCAGGGAUCUGCCAAAUCAGAAAUACAAGAUGCUCAGCUACUUUGGGUAGAUACAUAUUUAGGGCAGAAUGAGUGAUGCAAAGUGUGGGGCAAACCAGCUAACAGAUCUUUCUGCAGACAAUACUCCUGACUUUGCCAUCCCCAAAUCUCUCUGUAAGAAGUUCCACAAUGACAAGCGCAGUUAGAAGUGAGCAGUCAUGCACAGACUUGAAGAAAUUUUCAGAUCAAGGAGUGAAAGCACAGAGUAUAAAAGUCUGCCCAAUCUAAUGUUGUAUGAAGGGUAAAAAAUUUUACAGUGAAUGAUACUUAACACCUGAACUCAAUGUUAAACUUGGGGAAUAUAGCUUGUAAAAAUUUUCACAGUGAAAUUAUACUGAAAACCAGAACUCGAUGUAAACUUGGGGAAUAUAGCUCAUAAAUUUUUUUACAGAGUUAUAUUGAACACCUGAACUCAAUGCUAAACCUGGGGAAUAUAUAUAAUGAACUCUGCAGCUGUGCUAACUACUGACAUGAAAGGCAGAGACACGGUACAAUUUCCAUCUUGCGGACAAGUCAACAUUGCUAGUGUUUCUUGUGGAAUGCAAGAAUUUUCAGAAAUCUCAGACAGCAGACUUGUGCCGGGCAAAAGCUUGUGAUAAUAAUCUAAUAAUGCAACGGAAUAUAACAAGAAAACCAUAAAUCCUUGGAUAAGUAAGCAAAUGCAUAGAAAGUGCUAGCCAAAACAAGACCACACAGCACGAAAUUUCUGAUGAACACGACGAGCAGCAACCCGUAGCUAGGGUUUAACAGCAAAAGCCCAAAACACAAACAACUACUACUAACUGAGGCGCCGCAGACCACAAAAGGAGCCAACGCCACACCAAAAGCUUCGUACAAAAGAAAGGAAACCACGAUCCUUGGCCCCCAUAAUUAGAAGUCUUUACCCCUUCUCCCUUACAUCAUCAUCAUACGCUACAUAAAAAUCACCGAAAAAAGGCGCAGUUGGUAGCAACUUGCACUAGUACUGCACCCAACAUCCGUACCAAAGAGGGCGAAAUUGGGGAUCAACAAGGGCAGGAAUCGAAGCGGAAAACAGAAAUAAACCGCGGUUUCGUCCCCCAGCCCAGCCACCAAAACGCCGCCUUUUCCGCGCCAUCCCGCCGUACGACCCCGAAUCACGCGCGACAUGAUUAAGUAUAAGCCCGGAGAGAGGGAGAGCAGCUCACCCCUGAUCACCAAUGGCGCCGUCGAAAUCCAUCCCCGCUCUCCGAGGGCCACGGAUUGGAUCCAGGAUUCGGAGCAGCUAGCACUCCAUCCACAGACAACGAUAGCGACGAAAGGUUCUCCCUCCCUCCGCGCCAACGAGGGGGGGCAGGUGAGGAGGAGGAGGUGGAAGAAGAAGUGGGGGGUGGGCAGUGGGCAGUAGGCAAGGCAGUUUCAGCGCUCGCCGCUCUCCCUCCCUCUGCCUCCUGUCCCUUUCUCUCUCUAGACAAGUCCAAAAAACCGAUGCUUUUAUCUCCUCUCUCACUCUAUAUAUAAAUUUGUGUGUGUGUCUCUCUCUCCUCUCCCUCUCCAAUGCGACAGCACAGUCUGCAGCGCAGCGGCACGGAGCCCGACGGAAACACAACGAAAGCAGCAAGGCACUGAUUAUCUUAUGACUAAUCCCAGCAACCGGUCCCUCCCCCGCGACGCGAUGAUCCUGCCGCGGACUUGAUUAAUUUAACCACACCUAAUCGCGAUUAUUAAAAGGCGGUUACCGGAGCAUUUGCAGGAACGCCCCUCGCCACUCGCCAGGCCGUGAAAAUUGCCGAGGAAGCUGUUGACUGGGCUUUGGAAGCUUGCACGGGAAGGAAGCCAAAGCCCAAAGCAAAUCCACGGGGUUUUAUUUGGUAAUUCUGGGCAAUUACUGCUGGUAACAAGUUUCAUGUACAUCCAAAGCGGAAAGGGAGAAAAUGAAUCGAACGCUACUCCGUUUUAGUAAAUGUUUUAGUGAAUGCUACAACGUGUUAAAUAAUGAUGAAAUUUAUUUGUCACGGCAGAAAUGGCAUGAGCAACAGUAAAUGUGCAAGCGUCAGAGGUAGAUCGGGGCAUUAACUGCGGACCCUGAGAGCUCAUGUGAUCCGGAGCAUUGAAGACGACGCUGUUAGGUGGGCCCGCUGGAUCCAUCUAUUCCGUGGCCCACAUGUCGGGAGGAGCUCCCUCCCUAUCCCGUUGUGUUGUUACAGGCACAUGGAGGAGCGUUGUGGCGUGAACAAAGUUCGAAGAAUGUCAGCCCUCUCAUUCGUCAGGCUCUGAUUAAUCAAAGGUUAUCCGAAAUCGCUUUAAGAUUGGGGGCGAGAUAAAAAAAAAGGGAAGCAGUAAGCAGUCUUGGCCGUGCGUGAUGAGCUGGCGCGGAUAGAAAGCGUACUUGCAGUAGUAAAACCGCUAGUACUUGUGCAGGUCGGUCAAAAAACUGUUAAAAAGGUGGUGCGGGCGAUUGGGUUUGGAUCUUGAUCUCGGUUGUUAUUACUGAUGGGGUGACGGAUCACAGAUCUGUUUACCGGCGAGGUUCUUGACGGGACCAUACGGCCUCGUGGAUCGUGUGGCUACCUUUAAUUUUCUCACGAUUACACAUGUCGGAUCGCCGGAAGUAUUCGCGAGGCGUUCGCCGGAAGUACAGAGGAUCACCGUUGCCGUUUGCAAAGGAGAUCGGACGCCGUGCGUAGAGAUUAGAGGAGUAUACGAUAAAUUCUAAAUUCGGUGCAUAAAAAUUGGGAGUGUCUAUAGCUCACUUAGGUGAACAGAGACUCCUUACAUGAAUUUCUGAGCUAUUGGAUUUAAAACCAGCAGCUUAGAUCCCUCCUAUCUCUCCAUUAUCUCCCCUUCCCACCCUCUUCUUCAGCCUCCUCCCCCCUCUUCUUCUUCCUCCCCCACCCCUCCGCCGCCCGCCGCCCAGGCCCUCCCCUACCCCUCUGGCGGCGUGGAGCUCCGGCGAACCUUAGCCCACCCGCGCCGGUUGCCUCCUGCCCCUCCCGCCGCUGCCUCCUACCGUCACCGUCACCAUCGCCGCCCCCGCCGCCGUGCCUCGCCGCCCCCGCACCCACCACCUCCACUGAACCAGCCUAUUAAGGCCGGCGGUGAGCAACCCCACCCGGCAAUCCCCGAACCCCUAACCCUGAACCCCUAAUCUCGCUGGAAUCUCAUCGGAGUUGGAGAAGAAAGUAUUUACUACGAAAUCAAGGGAAAUUGGGAUUUCAAGUUCUUACUAUGAAAUCAGGGGUUGGGACGGAUAUCAUGAUUCCUGUACGAUGAGUUUUACAUACGGUGCAUAGAGAUUGGAACUUCAGUUCUUACGAAGUUCGAUGAAAUCAGGGGUUGGGACGGUUCCUUAUCCUCGUUCUGCACUCGCAAAUUCCGUGAAAUUUGUAUUCAUCCUACCCUUGCUAUUACGUUUUCCUUUCCUAAUACUAAUAUCCCGUAAUGGAUCGCAUCAGGUGUACCAUCAGGAGUACGUAUUAUAUCCCCAACUCUCCGCACUUACAGGAGUAGCCCAAUACAGACAAAAGUCAGGUGGCAGAUCUGCAGGCAAAAUAACAAACAAGCCAUGGUAUCCUCAUUGCCUGCUCACGGUAAUCACAGGCUUAUCAACAUCGAAAUCAUAACGGUGACACGUGCAGCUCACGAUCUCCAACACCUCAGCAACAGAAAACUAACCAUGACCCUCGCCUCCGUGCACAGGGCGUACAAAGAGGCUCCGCAGAACGGAUGGACGGCAAAGCAAAGCUCGCUUCGAGGAGGCAAAACAAAUCACCGGCGAUCAUUGGGAGUACACACAGGGCAAGAUAUAUUAGGGGAUAGAUAAACGAGUCACAACACGCCAGAGUAUCGAAUUUCUUACUAAACAAGACUACUGAUGUCCUUCAGCAAUGGCACACGGAGAGCCAGAGCCUCACAAGUUGCCUCUCGAGACUUCUUUAGUUUCACUACGGAGGAAGGUAGAGCGCACGGCAGCGCUGCAAAAGGAGGCCGCAACAGGGGGCUUCUAAGCGCUAGGCACGUAGCCUCCGGUCUGGUGAAGCAUGGCGUCGAUCUCGUCGCCGUCCUCCAUCUCCAGCUGAACAGUAGAGAAACAAAACAUCAGUUACGCAUUCAUCUCUGUGUUAAGGGAGUUACUGCGAGCGAGUUUGCAGGCACACGCACCUCAUCAGGGGUCUGCUCACCGCGAAGCCUGCGGCCAUCAAAAAGGAAUGCAAUGGCAUUCAUGUCCACAGACUGGCGGUCGCAAUAGGCAUUCAUCAGCUUCUUCAGCUGGGUGGACCUCUUGAUGCGGAAGAACACCUCGUUGCCAUCCUAUAAUACGAGAGUAAGAGACAUAAAAAACUUGGCAAUGAGAAAUCAGAACAUUGAAACCUAAAACAAUCCAAUCUGUAAUGUAAAAAUGCUGCAACAUCCAACCUAAUCUUGAUCAGUAAAGGGAGAAUGCAAUCUUAAUCUCCCAAAUCAAUUGAUCGUACUAAAAAACUUAGUUAAAUGCAAGUUUCAACUUUUUCAUAAGACACAUGCUUGGAUUUCUGGAUAAUGCUUGAAGGAUGUCUCAAGUUAAAAAAGAAUAGCCAAGCAGAAUACUUAUAUUAUAAAAAAAAGAGCUCCACGACACUAAGUAUAAACAAAGUUUUAAUUGCACAUGCUGAAUGCCAUCCAGCAAAACAACACAAACCCCAGACCGACUGAAACAGGUCAGUGUUGGAUAAAUGUUUCAAUUGCAUAGUAAAUUAAUAUAGUCCAGGUAAACUAACCAAUUAGCAAGCAUGCAAGCUGAUGUUCAUCAGGUAAACCACUUAUGAACAGGCAACUUCAACAAUUCUUGAAUGGAUUGCAACAAGGGUUUCAGUAACCCAAGACUGACAAAGCUACUAACACUUCAAGCAACCUGAGCCAAGCGUGGCAUAAAAAAACUAAUAUACAGGUGCAGAUAAUAAUAACUAGUAGCCCACAUCCCAUACAACAGUAUAAACAAGUAUGAUCCUAAAAACACAAAAAAAAUAUCCAGUGCUAAAUUUUCCCAAUCAUGUUUCAACUGUUACAAAUAUCUACAUAAACAUAACAGAAGAGGAUUCUGAUAGAGUUCGGAUUACAUAUUGACUAAUCAGUUGAGUUAUGCAUAUCAAAUCGAAUUAAACCACCUACACAAAUGAGUACUUCAAGAAUUAACAACUGCACAGAGGAUCCGAUCAACAGAGUUAAUAACGCUGUGAAGUGAAGACCGGGGUAAGGUAAAUUACACGUGAGACCAAGGCACCUAACUUUAUAGAGUUCUAAUUGCUGCUGUUAACAAACAUCUAUCAAAAUUUAAAGAUGAGCAGUGUGGCAUUGUCCCUAGUACAGAUAGACUAAUCAACAAUUGAUGCCCUGUUCAUACAGUUAUUAAUGCCAAUAGUAGCAAUCCAGUUAAAAAUGGGGUCAACACAAGUCAAUCUAAAACACAGAAGUGAUUGAUCGCGACUUGGGAAACUACAUGCAAGGCGCAAUCGCCGAGAAUCUAAUAGCACGGAGACUUGACACCCCUAUCAGUCCCCAAAUUCACGGAAACCCUAGUGAUCUAAGCAACCACUACAUCGCGAUGAUCGCCGCAAGGGCGAGACAGAGCCACCAAAAUCGACUUAACCCUAAACAAUCCUAAGCAACCGCUGCAUCGCGACGAUCGCCACAAGGGCGAAACAGAGGCUAUUCUUUCGAAGCCGAAGGAGAUUAGGGGGAACCGUCGCCGCGCAUACCUGUCCCUUAACCUUGAGGUUGAUGUGGGCGCCGCCCUCCGCCGGCUUCUUGUCCUCCUCUCCGUUUCCCGACAUCGUCGUCGAAGGGCUCCGAGCGCAGCGGCCGUCAGAUUUCGCGGCGGAUUCCGGCGAUCGAUUGGUGGCGGCCGGAGCGGGUUGCGGGUGGGGCUCUGUGAUGCGCCGGCGGACGCGGCUUCUUAUAAGACGGCUGCCCACAACCGGAUUUGAUACGAGGUUCACGUCCGGAUCCACCCUGCGCGGCCUCGUGUGGCCCGCGUGUACCUGGCCGCGUCCGCGCGCGAGGCUGUUCGGGAUCCGGAUCGGGUGCGGCCGCCGCGCGCCCGCCGGUUCGUGGGCCGGUGCGGUGCGUGGGUUGCACGCGGACGCGAACCGGGUCAAUGGUCCGUGUGGGGCCCGCCUCGCGCCUGUACAGGUGUGCGGCGUGGGCGGGGAGUUAUCCGGUUGGGUCUCGUCGCUUCGUCCUGCGGGGCGCGCGCGCGCGCAGGGGGGCGAAGCGUUCGGUGCGGCGAGACGUUUGCAUCUCUUGGUCGUGCGAUCGAACGGAUGCGUGGGGCGGAGUGGAUACGAAUACGAUACGACGCGGUUGCUCGUUAGAGGAGGAGGUUUAGAACGUCAAAGCGUAUGUGCGUACAUGAUUGUACCUGUGGCCACAUGUUUAGAAGAACACAAAUUAAAAUUGUUCACUUCAAAGGCACCACGGCAUACAAUUAUUAUCGCCUCCACAGCGGCCGCGCCUUCUUAAUAGCCGAAUUGGCUAGCUAAUUGUUUUUUUAAACUAGCUAAUUGCUUUUAUUGACAAGAGUCACCGGACAAGAAUCUCUUCUUUUUUACUCUAGCAAAGAAAGAAAAAAGAACGAUAUACCUAACACCUCUCUAUUUGUGUAUCAUGUAAUAUGGUCACCGCGCUGUAAAAACGAUAAGAUGUUGAAUAUAAAAACCAUAAAAAUAUAAUAAGAUUUAUUAAAAAAUAAAAUAGAGAUGGUGAAUUACAUGGAGAGUGACAAUUCUGCAUUGACAUAUAACGGUAAGAAGUUCUUUAUUUUUCUUCAUCUCGUCCCACUAUCUUUUCUCCAUAGAGGCAUCCAGCAGGCAACAGCUAAAGGGCGUUUACACUCUACCAAGUUAGUUCAUAUGGUGAUAAGCUGUAGAAAAAUAAGAUAGCUGGUGGCAGAUGCCUACUUGCAAAUGCUAGGUAAAAGGGAGGAGAAAUUGCAAGUGUUGUGGAUAGGGAAUGGGGAGGGGGGCUCAAGCCCCCAUGGCCUACUGAAACUUGUGAGAUUAACUCUUUUUUUUUAAAGUUGGUGAGUGACUAGGAUGAAAUAGUAAUGUCAUGAGUAAAAAUAUGUUGCUUGUUUCAUCCUCGUCGACGUUGCAACUUUAAGAAAACAUCAGUUUACAGUAAAUCAAAUACAUCAAUACAUCAGGUAAAAUUUAGCUUGCUAUGUUUAAAGUUAACAAAGUAGUAAAUUGUACACCUAGUGGACAUAGUAGAAUAUCAGGGGCCAUUCUCAUGUUAAAAAAAAACGAAGCUUCUUCCCGUUCUUCUUCAUCCCGCUCUCUUUUUUCACGGAGCUCCAAGCAUGAAGACUCUCGCAAUACUCUUCUUUAUCCGUAGAAAUAGGUAUGGUCAUGAUCUAUAUAAAAAAAGAUAAAUGGUGAAUGUCCAGUUGCACGUGGCAAUUCAUGUUGGCAAACCAUGGUAAAUGUGUGAAACUGCUAUAAAGCUUAGCUUAGGACCAUACAUCUGAACUCGUUGCCAGCAUUAAUGCGGACGAUUCUUAUGCUAAGUCGCUAAGAUAUUACCAUAUCAGAUAUAACUUUGUCAUCACCCAACACAAUGUGCAUAACUUUUAAACUCCAAUUUCUUAAAUGCUACUGGGAUCAGCCAUGUAACCACGGCAACGACACCGUGCGAUGCGCUUGUUGUACUCUUUGUUUCUUUUUAAAAAAACAAAUUACUCCCUUGAAAAUCCAGAUAACCCUCUAACUAUAUUUUGGUUCAAUUUACACCUAAACCAUGCUACUUGGUUCAACUUACCCUGUAAUACAAUUUAUCAUUUUUGUCUUUCCAAGUUGAAUUUGUCAUUUUUGUCUUUCAUAAAAAAAUUCAUGAUAUAUUUUUUAACACGCCUUCCGUGUUUACUAUUAUCUUGCAAAAUUUGAACGGAAGACUCCACUUCCGUGUUUACUAUUAUCUUGCAAAAUUUGAACGGAAGACUCCACUUCUGCAUGGAGAAAAAAAGAAAAAAUAUAUUUAGGGGCAAAUUGAAUCAAAUAAUAUAGUUUAGGGUAAACUGAAUAAAAAAUACUGUAGGGCUAUUCAAACUUUGAUAAUACUUAGUAAUUUGAAUUUUUCUCUCUCGCGUGAGUUGGAACUUGGUUAGCGUUCUCGACGAACAUGUUGGUUAGCGUUCUCCAAGGCCCACAGAUUGUGUGUUAAGAGAAAAAGCCCAUAUGCAGGUAGGAUUUGCGGCGGGCCGGGCUUACUGGCUGCCGCCGCCAACAAACGCAACUACGCAAGGCCGGACCCAGCAGGAUUUAGCGACGGACACGGAGUCCGAGUCCGACCGCGCGGCGACUCUUCUAGAUUUCCACCGUCCCACCAAAGGAAAGAGCACGCAUCAGCAAGCAGAGCAGAGGCAGCGACCAGAGUCCAGACCGUUCUCCGCGCCUCUCCCCGCCACGCCCACGCGCGCCGCACCCUUCCGAAGCAUCGUGCUCCUCCGCGAUGGGCUCGCCGCCUCUCACCGUGCACCUCCGCCGCUCGUCGUUUUCGUCGCCGCCGGGUGAUACCGUGGCGAUCGCGGUGGAUGGCAGCUCCGGGGUGGACCUGGCCCGUGUCGGCCUCGCGCUGGGGCUGGACCCCGCCUCCGUCCGCCCCAACGGCUACUUCCUCAGCCGCGGCCCUGGCCACGUCUGCUCCGCCGUCACGUGGCGCGCGCUCCUCGACUUCUUCGCCGCGCGUGGGCUGCCCACCGGCGCCGACGCCGCCGCGCCCGUCGCCGUGGACGGCAAGCCUGCCGCCCCUCCUGCCUCGACCUCAGGUGCGUUCAGCCGUUCAGGCCGCCCCCUCCUUGACGAACAGUCAAUCCUUGAUUGAUUAUUGAUACGAUUGCUUGGUCGAGAAAUAUGGAGCUAUGGAUGUUACAAUGUGCGGUCGGGGUUCUAGAAUCAAAAGGGAUGAUCGAUGCCCGUGAACUUUUGUCUUGUAUAGUAUUCAGGAUCGUUCAGAUUCUAUGCCUGGUUGAUUCUUAUGUGAUCUUGUCAGCUUCAUCCAUCAAUAACACCAACCGGGUUAAAGAAAUUUCUGCUACUUAGAUUUCAAACGGAUUGGGGAUUGAAUACCACCCAAGUUCCUGAAGUUACUGGACUGCUCUGAUGCUGCUAGCCUGCAAUGGUUGAGAUUGAGAUUCUAGGUUUUAUUCAUAAGCCUAUCAGUCCUGUCGAUUUUCUUUGUUAAAGUCGAUUCUGAAUUGACAAGUAACAUACACCUUGUUUUGGACAAUCUUAGGCCAGACUAGAAAAUACAAAAUAGCUGACACUCGUCUUGUUUCAGUUUUCAGUAUUGUUGAUUACACGUAGUUUCAGUUUCUUUUUGGCCUCAUGUAAUGGGGAUGCAGCAAUUCUUCGUUAGUUUUUAUCAAGUGUCACUUGUUGAUCUGCAAAUUGUUUUGUCAUACAUAUUGCAUAUUUGCACGAGCAUUUGAAUAUUAUGGCGUAUAAUGCACUAGGGUGGAGAUCAUGUCAGACAUUCACACAGUCGUUUAGUCUGAAUCCGUGACACUGUAUUAUCCAGAUCCUACAACACUCGUGUGCUCAAAGCGAAAAUCUGGACUGGAAGUAGAAAGGCGUCCCAAGAAGAGCAAGCCUCAAGAGAACAGACCGGCUCUUUCAAAACGAAGGGAUGAUGUCCUUAGCGAAGAAAUCGUCCUUAGUUUGAAGAGAAGACUCAGAUUGGACGACACAAUUCCAGCGAAGAAGAUUAAGCAAGUAGAGUACGGCUCAGGUGAGUGACAAUUGCCAAAUUCUCAAGUGUUGACUAACUAGUGAUUCAUAUUUAUAUUCCUAUACAAGCCAGAACAUAUUCUAAACCCUUUUCUGUUUGCUCCUGCAUUAUUCGGUGAUGAAUCGACGGAGCAGACACACAGCAGCCGGUUAAAUUCUCUUGCAGCUUUGUAAAUGCAAAUGGAAAGCGGCCACGGGAUGAGAUGAUCACCUCACUUUCAUGUAAAAGAGUUCGGUGAUGAUGGUGACAAAGGAGGCGCACAAGUCUUUGAAAACAGAAGUCACGCAUCGGUUCACUCGAGACAUCCUCUGGAGCUGAGGUAAAUUGACAUGCCCUGUUGUAUGUUCCGGAGGCCAUGUAGUCUUCAACGAAGAGCCAUGGAUUUUUGUUCGGAGGCAGCUGUUGUAUGCUGUAACUGGAAAAAUGUUACCUGUGAAUAUCACAAUGCUUGUUAUUAACUGGAAUUACCUUCAGAAUCCUAGCAGUAAGACGUGCAAGUCCAUUUGCUGCUUGACAGCAGCUACAGUGAUGUUUUAAGGCCACGUACUGCGGUACUGGCAUGCUUUAAGGCCAUAUAUGACGUGUCGUCAGAACUUGAAUUAUGUUAUUCAGUUACAGCAACUCCUCCAUCAGUUCUAUGACAUUUAAUAACAGGAUCGGUGUACGUGGUUUGAACAAAGCGAAAUACAUACAUCAAAUCUUCAGCAAACUCAAUUCUCGAAAAAAAAACUUAAGCAAACUCACAAUAAUGCAUAUUUGGAGCCAGAAUGCAAGUGCAUGUAAAAAUUAGUAAGUAGAUGAACACAUUCAAUGGAUGCACCAGCUUGUCAGUAAAACUUCAGGGUGAGUUCACUCAGGCCCAGAGAUCUCCUUCAGCACACAACUUGGUAAACCAAGAGCCAGAUUAGCCACAUUGAGUACGCGUCCACCACUAUAAAAACCUGACCUCUUGAUAUUUACAAUGAACAAACAAAUUAUCAAGCUACAACAAAGACAACAAAAGGAUUUUGCAAGACCGACAGAGUUUCCAACUGGUGGACAAAAUCUACAGCCUACACUCCUCUGAUUCGAGACCUUGCAUUGUGAAACCAAAAUGCCUAUUGCAAAAUGAGCCACUUGAAAUCCAGUAGAUGCAAGUUUUGACCUCAGUGGAAGGAUGAAACCCAUCCCGUUAUAUUAGGAAAAGUGGGAGUGCGUUGAGUUGGACAAUAUGCUUGUUGCUCCUGCUGAACUACGAAUAACUUAUCUUCCCUUAUUCAAUUGUGCCUUGAACUCCCAUCCAAUAAGUUUUUUUUCUAUGAAACUAUCCAAUAAGUUUUCCUUGCUUAAUUCUGAAUCUUUCCAUGCAUAGCUGACACAAAAGGGGUGAUCAUGCCAUUGCGACCAAGAUCUUUCAGGCCUCAAUUUCGUCACCAACAAAGAUCGAUUUUAGUUCUUUUGUGAAAUGAUUGAACCAGUCUGAAAGAGAAGCAAACGGCAGGAAACCAGUCAAGGCUGGGAUAAUAAACCCCAGCACAGCAUAAAAUACCCACCGACGAAUCCAAUAUGGGAACCAAACAACUUCCUUGCUGUGAGAUACUGAUAUAGGACCAUGAAGAACACGGUACAAGACAGAUGGAUAACAAUUUCCAAGUAGAUGGAUGGAACAAAGAACCUCCCAGCAUAUGAGCCAGAUGUUCCCAUCACCACCAAGAGUGUUGGCACAGAACCUUCCAGCAAUGCCGCACAUAACUCCCAAAAGAAUGAAGUUGAAAGUUACUGGCAUAUUUGAUCCAGACACCGCAGAACGCUGGAAUGCUAGCCAAGCAAUUGCCAUAAUCAUUACUAUGCCAAAGCCCAUACGUGUUGCUGCUAUGAAAUGACAUCUUAGGAAGAGCAACCCGGAAUUGAAAUUUGACACUGAAUUUGGCAUCCACCAUGAUUUAGGUCCCUGCAUGAGGGGCAAGAGAGAAAACCUUUCUGAUUACCACACAGGUUUGUUAUGAUUGUAUUGUUCAUUGACCACCGAUGCAAAAAAAAAAACAAAACAAGACAGAUGAUAAGCUUACCCUUGAAGUGGCUGAGCAUGCUGCUGUAAUAUCAGUUAUUCUUUGGUAUGAAUAGAUAUAAGUUCCAUAACCAAAGCAUACUGACAUGAUAAUCACUGCACUAACAAGAAAAUCUAUUAGUGUCCUCAGUAUUUGUGCAUGCCUUGUGUCCUGCAUCUGAGUCUUGAAUUUCUCCCCUCGGAAGGAAGCUUUCUGAAAUCCCAAGGAUAUUUUCAUCUUUUCUAACAUGUGUGAGUAGGAGUUAAGUUCUAGUUGAGACUGUUUUAAUUGCAAUUUUCUCAUGCUAAGGCCUAUCUCAAAUUCCUUGAGCUCGUUUGACCGUGUUUGCUCUUUUAAAGAUCUCUCAAAUGCAUUAAGGAUGCGCUGAUCAGCUUCAGGAGAAGAUAUGCCACGAGUGCGGCGAGUCAGCUGCUGAUUGCUUCCAGCAUAAAGAACAAGCCGACUUUCCACUGAGUUCAAAACAUCCUGCCUGAUUUCCUGUGGGGGAUUUUGUGGACCACCAGUGCUCAAAAUGCUUGCUGCUGCAGAGUCUUCAUGCUUAGAAGAACAUUGGGGAAUAGGACUUUGUUCAAAGACAGGCAUCUCAUUAACAAGAUGAAGCGUCGUCAGUGUGCUGCUGAAUGAUUUCUCAAAAUUUUUCAUAAAACUCUCUAACUUAUCACCAUAUAUCUAGACAAAAGGUAAGUGAAAGACAUCAGGAAUUUUAGUAAAAACUGAGCUGUGCGAUGAUAAAGGGAACUAUGCUUACAUUUCUCAAUGAUUCCUUCACAGCCGAUGUACAUAUCUGCAUCAAUAGUCCACACUCAGUUUCAGACUAAAUUUUUUUGUGGUUUUGUAUAUACUUUUGGUCGAAUUGUAGUACAAUAACCUUGGAAAGGAGUGCAGGUUGUAAUCUUUCCCCUGAAUGAUUCUUCACAUUGACAACCUGCAGUAAGUGAAGGCAUCUCCUUAUUGCCAUGAACCAAAAAAGACUUAACUAGUGCAUAAAAUAUGAUGUGAUCAUGCUAACAUCAAGCCGUAUGAUGGUGAAUUGGUGAAAUAUAGGAUGUGCUUUGUUUCACUCUGUGUGUAUUGAUGGUGUAGCUAUGCAUGUGAACUCAAGAGUGGAUGAACACAUGACACAUUCUGAGCAGAUAAUCACAACGAUAGUUCAUAGGAUGGGUAGGAGAAAAGGCAUCACAAAAAUUUUAGUGGUCACUAUGAAUUUGCAAUGUAAACAUGUUUGACUUUAAAUUGGUCAGCAAAUGUUGCGAUACUGAUUUUGUAAUACUACUUAUUGUGGGAAAGCACUAGGUCUGCAUAGCCCAUACAGGCAUAACAACAAUUAUGCUCCAUUUCUCUCCUCUUUGAACCCAUAACCAGUGAAUAUGAAAAUUGUCUCAGUUUUGGCACUUCCCUGCAUUCAUGUGACUGUUUUGAAGCAGAAAAGGGUAAUUCUCAUGAUCACUAACAUCGAAGAAGGCACAAGUCAUACAGAAGGGGAUAACAAUUAAUUCUGUCGACCUGGGUUGAUAUUCAACUCAUCCACUGGCCUAAAUAGGAAUCUAACUAAUAUCCAACAUCCUGAAACAAUGACAAGCAGGGGUCAGGGGAGCUAUCUGGCAACUAGCAAACGAACCCGAAUAGCUUCGAAUCCCAAGCUCACAGAAACGCGAAAAAAAUGACCAUUUCUCAGCCACCGGCCCCAAGCUGCCACAUCUCAUUUGACGCGGCAUUGCUCAGUACAAACUACUACAAUCACAACGAAAACGAAAUUGAUUUCGGUAGUUCACCAUGCGCCUCUUUCCGAUUUGUAGCUAUGCCUCGUCGGUAACAGCAUCGCAAUUAAGUACUACUAGAACGCUUGUGAAAGUAAAAAUAAGGACACAAACAUCGCUCGAGCCCUGACGAUCCCUGGAAAUGGAACGCACCUGCGCUAGGACGGCCGCGAACGACAUCCCCAGGGGCAGCGCGAGGUCGUCCUGCACGCCGGCGCCGCCCGCGCCCCUAGCGGGCAGGGUUGGUGGCUCCUGCCGCCUUCGUCGCAGCCGGAGCCGGACCCCCCUGCGCAGGCGGGUGGCCCGGGAGGCAGAGCCGCCCGCGGAGGAGGCCGACGCCGCCGAGGAAGACGCAGCGUCGGCGUCGGCGUCGGCGCCGGAGGGGUCGCCGGAUCGGUGGAGCCAGCCCGUGUCCAUCUCGGCGGGGGGCCUGCGGACGGAGCAGACCGCAGACGGUGACCUUGUGGGGGGGGGGUUGGCCGGUGGCCUUCUGGGGUGUUCCUUUCUUCAAGGCAGGCUCCUGUCCCGUGAUUCAGUUCCGUUUUGACUUCCUCCGUUGGGACGAGGACGGACGGGCGUGGGAACGGGAAAAGGGUGCGCCGAAGCGGCGUGGGAAAUUACCGCGGGCGGCCGAAUUAGCCGUUGUAGUAAAAUUCUUGGAAACUUAUUACAGCUCGGCAAUUUGAUUUUUUGAAUUUUUUUUAAGAUUUUGUCAUUUUGGGAAAGGCAAACGGCGGAGAAGGGGAACAGGCACCGCGCCGAGAGACGGAGAGGGUGGCGCAGGUCUUGUGUUGAUAUGGGCCUGCGCGUGCCUGAUCCGGCGGCCCAACGCUACUCCGGGCCCAGAUUGCGGGCAGCCGGCCGCGUCCAGACAUUAAAAUUUUCUACUGGUUAGAUCCAAAAGCGAAGAGCUACAAAAAAAAUUAUAGCAGUGGAGAUGCGGGGUAUCGAUCCCCGUACCUCUCGCAUGCUAAGCGAGCGCUCUACCAUCUGAGCUACAUCCCCAAUGAUGUCGGCACAAUUCAUAAAGUUAUUCUAGUACGUUUAUUAUAUAGAUUUUUCCUUUGGCCACCGACAUAACUACAACCUCGUAAUCUGUGUAUAAAAGUUGUCAUGCAAUGAAAGUAUGUAGAAUUAUGAUGUGGAUUGCGAGCUAAUCCAUGGGCCACAAUAUAUGGAAUUAUUGAGGGACAUACGGCAUUUGUGUGGCACCAUCUAUUUUAGCUUAUGAAGUAAUAAGAGAUGCCCUAAUCUCUUCGAUGAGUAGACCAAUGCUAGGAUCAAAGCAUAUCAUUACUGGUCACAACCACUUCCACUAGGGCCACCACAGGCGAUGUUAAAGCCAGGCCCGUCAACGUUCCCACCAAGAACGGCAGCGUUGCAGCACUUUGGGCACCGUGACUCCCAACCUAAUGGGCAUGUCUUUUUUGUCAAUCCUGUUGGCACCGAUCGCUAAAUAUGCCUUUAAUACGGCCGAUGCAUUAUUGCCUUGCGUACAGCCAUUGCCCAUAAACCAUAUUGGUGCGUGCAAAACCAUAUUGGUGUGUGCAAGUCAUGAGGUCUCGAGUUGUGCACCGCACCACCUACCUCAUUGAUAUAGCUCUCUGGAAAGAAGGUCGGGACCAGAGUGUAUCGGAAGUAGCCGAUAGGUGUUUCAUUCAAAUAUACUCACCAUCGUUGCUAACCUGGAGCCUUGUGUAUACUCAUGGUGAUGUAGGCAAUGGCGAGGGGGGGGGGCAACGGUCCCCUCUGACUUGUAAUUUUCCAUUGAAAAUUUUGAAUUUUAUCGAAUUUUAGCAUUGUUGGUCCUGUAACCAUAGAAAAAAAAUAAGUUCUUGGCUUCGCCCUAGACGCAGGAUACACCAUCAUAUGUUAUGGAGGAGCGAUGAUCUUAUUAAUCGUAGAACGAACCAAGGGUAAUGGCAAGAGAGGUUGAAGCACUUCCUCCGCUUGCCACCAUCAAUGUGCAUGCAGUCAGGUCUUUUAUUAUUUGUGGAAGAUCAAUUUUUACAUGGACAAAUUAGACCCUAUUCUUAGUAACUAAUUGUGCUAGUGUGUUACGCACUAGAGGUUAGGAUUGUCAUUUCCAAAGAAAAAGUUGCUGGCCUGCAUGUGCACGAGUACACGGCGUACCUUAGGAAUUCUAUCGGGUGCUUGUGGGGUUGUUUCACGUGCGUGGUAUAUACUAGUAUAUACUCCCUCUAUCCCAAAUUAUGAUUUGUUUUUGUUUUGACUGUUUUAGAUACAUAAUUUUUAUUAUGUAUCAUUUUUAUUAUGUAUCUAGACAUAAUAUAUAUUUAGGUGUAGAUCAAAAGCUAUGUACUUACAAAAGCCAAAACGAAUACUAAUUUGGGAUGGAAGGAGCAGCUCGCAAGACAUAUCAACUGUUCUAUGGAUACGUAAGGAGAGCACGUACCAUAAUUAAGCUCGGCAUCAAUCUGGUUGGUGGUAUUUGGCAGGAAUUCUCCAGGCGACCAACCCAAUUCCUAUCCACGGUUCCAGCGAUAAGGCGAUGACAGUGCUGGUAGUGGAUGACUCGACUCAAUUUUGGUCGGCCGCUACGAUGGCAGCAACGGCGAUGCGCCGUGGUAAGGCCAGUCCAAAUCAAGCACCACGGCGAACUACAAGCACACGUAUGGAUCCACGCGAUAAAAUGAAAAUGAAGUGAGAUUUUAAGUUUUAAUACCGAAGGCAAACCUAGUACUACCUCCCCUCUCCUUUAUUUGACGCCGGCUAGCUCAAAUUUGAGCUAAUGAACGUAAAAUAAACAAGAACGGAGGGAGUAGCAUUAAUUAAAGAUCAACAGUCAACUUUCAUGUAAUCAAUCUUGUUAACUAAUAAUAUGUAAUUCUUUUGACAGCCUAAGUGGUAGGAAGCUCAAAUAUAAAAGAUGGGCUUUUCUAAACAAAAAUAAAUAUAGAAGGUGGUAGUAGCUCCCACAGUUCCACUCCUAUGCCAUUCGUGCUCCAAAGGGUGGUGCAGUACCGCGGUCAGGACCAGAUUGGCGGCGAGGCGGCAAUCGGUAGCUGCAAUCUCUCUUUAAUUAGGGUUCGUUUGGUAGGGUUGUGGCUGUGGCUGAAACGGCUCCAGCUGUGGCUUUUUUGGCGUAGUAGCUUUUUUUAGCUCCAGCUUGUUUGGUUGGAAAAAUGUUUGGCAAAACGGCUUCUCUUGGUAGUUUAAAAUGGAUAAGAAUAUAAAAUGUUCAUGAUGCUCCUCUCUUUUUUCUUUCAUUUUUUCUCAUCUCUUCUUAUUCUUUUUUUCCUUCCUUUUAUUCUCAUCUUAUCCAUUCAUCUCUGCCAGAUGGCCAUCCAUCUCUAUCCUUUCUGCUCCCCGCCGACUGUCCUGCCUCCUGUUGGCUACCUCACCCCUGCCGCCGUCGAGCUCUCCCCCGCCCGCGACUCAUCCAUGCCGCUGUCGAGCUCCCCCCGCCCCCAAUGCGCCCACGCCGCUGUUGAGCCCCGCAGCCCAUUCACCUACGACUCGACGACCUAGUUGGAAAGUCCUGCUAAAGGGGACCUUAAUCUAUUCAAAGUUGCGUUGCAGCCUCGCAGCUAGCUGGCGCGUAAAUCGAUAAUUAGCUUGGACGAAUUGGUAGAGUGUAUGGGUUUGUAAAAGAGCGUAAUCUGAAUUUUGUGGUUAUUGGAUAGGGGGUACUUUAGGGUCGGUUGCCGUUUUUCACUCUACAUGUACGCACACAUAUCUUAUGCUAAUUAGUCUAUCUACACUACUAGAACUAGUUGCCUGUAUCUACUCAAAGACACCACGGUAACAGUUGUAUCGAGAUGGGAUUGUGUGCAUGCCUCCGCGUGGACAUACAACCCAUCACCAUGUACCCGCCACAACGGCACGACGAGGAGAUGACGAGCGGCCUAGCGGCGGCCGUGGAGGGGCUGGUUGAAGAAGCUAAAGCUCUUCUCAAGGUUAAUGGAAUCUGGUUAUUAGCUCAGCGAUCCGUUAUUGUCGCAGCUUUAUAGGCGGGCCGCGGGUGGAGUUCUGGGUGACGAAGCGACGCCAGCUCGCAGCCGCUCUAUCGUGUGCCAUUACAUUGCUCGUGUAGUCGUGUGGGGUUGGGGUCGGUAGGAGUUGGGCCUGCGGUUAACACAUUUGGAUGCCUUGCUGUGUAGUUGUCAAGCAUCCUUGAGAGUUCCCGCUGGCAUUUUUGUAACUGCUCAAACUAACGUAUAGCAAGCCCUUACUUUCGAUCUGCUAAGCUGUAUGAGGUGAGAUUUUACAAAAAUAAAAGAAAAUAGAAUGGAGAUGCGGGGUAUCGAUCCCCGUACCUCUCGCAUGCUAAGCGAGCGCUCUACCAUCUGAGCUACAUCCCCUUGUCCACUUGGUGAUCCGCAUUAAUUAAAUUUAUUGAUUAUUUCCAAUUGGCUAGUCUUACGCGGCGCCAUCGGUCGUCUUCGAUCCCGGGCUCCUUUUGUGCUUUAUCUUGGUCUCGAAGCACUUGCAUGACGACGACCUAAAUCAUUUGCUGCUUUGUGCUUUGCAUGUGGCGGCCGUCAAUCUAAGUGCAACUCGGCGGCAGUCCAACACGCUUGGCGUCGAUCGAUAUUAAGCGGAGAAACAAGCUAGCAGGAACGAAGCUUCCUCCUCUCGAUCGACCUGCUUUUGGCUCGUUGUUUACAGGAGAGAAUUUUGGAUGCAUUGUCACAGCGGCAUAGGGCGGAGCUUCAACUUCUCCAACGCCACCAGAGACACAGAGGGGAUCUGAGUCUAUCUCCGUCAGCUACUCCGCUUAUGGCUCUUGGGCGGUCGAAAAAGCAGAGGAGAAACGUUGGCCGAGGGCUGUGAUCUGAGCCAGGCGCUAUCUCAGCGCGGCUCGCCCUUCGCCCGCCCGGCAGAUCCAUCGCUUACCGGGACUGCUGCUGCUACGGGCGACCAGGGGAAAUGAAGGAAGACAAAACGUAAAGAAACGGAUGAUUAUUCCUCCUCCCGCCGAGAUCCGACGUGGUGACGCGGCGUCCGUACGUGCUGCCGCGGCGGUCAAACCGAUCGCGCCACGCGUCCCUGCCCACCCGGCUGCCCGUACGUAUCGGGUAGCGCCUCCCUCUCUCUAUACGCAUGACCGGGCAGCUGGAUUGCAGCUCGCGAGGCCGGCAGCCUAGUAGGUUUGGUUAUUCUAGUCUUAACUGAGUAGCCAGGUCGAGCAGGGCUGAUCCGGGGAAGGCAAAGCAAGCCAGAAGCGACGCUCAUCGGCCCGCCUGCAGCCGUACCGCGCCUGCAGGGGGAGGGGUUGCCGUGGUGCCCCCACCCUGUCCCCUGUGUCAUUCUGUUUUGACCAGAAAAUUAGAAGGAAGACCACUGCUGAUAUCAUUUUUAGUCAACCGCUUUGGACUCUAUGUGCUACUUCAUCACCUGCAUUCGUUUGGUUGUGGCUUUGCUCAAGCGUGCUUGCAUGAUCAUAUUGCACUAGAUCGACGGUGGCCUCUCUAAAUAAACAGUAAAAAUAGCUAGGGACGUUAUCAUCUCACUAAACUUAUAAGAUGAUUUUACGGUAGACCAGACCAAUAAUCUACCGUGGAAAAAGCUGUGGGCUCACGAAUCGUAGUCACACCAUGCAUCUCCCUGCCACAUGUCGGCACACCGGUAGGUAGCAGCUAGCAGUGCACUAGGGCUCCUCCAUUUCAAAACGACCGGGCGUCAUCUAGUGCAGGGCAUGAGGGCACACCAACGCACACUCUCUCUCCAUCUGUCAGAAGAUCUCCACCAGCUCGCCGUGAUGACGCCGUCUAUGUAAGGAUCAUGGGUGCUCAAGGCUUGUCCAUCACCGCUUGUUCGCUUCACCUACAUCGAGCUUCCUCCCCAUUUCUGCAUUUCUGCCUUCAUAAGCAUCUCCAUCCUUUCUCUGACUGAUCACUAGCAUUAUCUUGGAACAGGACACUGUCAACGUCCACGCAUUUCGUCAAUUGUUGGUACUACUCAUUCAUCUUCUUUGAAAAUUACUACUCAUGCAUCUGAGUCAUAAACUAUACAUCAACCAUAAUUUGUUUCUCUGAACAAGUGGGCUGGGCGGGUGAGACAGUCGUUGUUAAUUUCAGAAUCCGGGGAUCUGAUGAUGAGCCGGAGCCCCGAUUUCGAUUAGCUAAACUUGCAUCAAUGUAUAGAUCACAAGUCCUUGUUAAUUUGAUACGUAGAUGUUCAGUAGAAGAGCAAGUGGGUGGUGAGAUCAAUGGUUGUUUUUUCUUGAAAAUGCUGUGAUCACCAGUCGUUUUUAAUUUGACGCUCACAUGCCUGCAUGGAAUCGAGAAGCAGGGGCUUUCAAGCUUGAGAGAUCGAGCAGGGGGUUCCAUUCGUGGACCAACCGAACGCAUGGAGGAGCACCAGUCAGCGGCUCACGCCACGCCCGAGGCCGAGCAGCAGCCGCAGGUGGAGCUGGCGACAGCCGUCGCUCCAGCGGCGGAAGAGGACGGUGAUGGGCCGGCCGAGGGUGGGGACGGCUCGCCGGCGGCGGCGGAGACCGCAUUGCUUGGCCGGCCGCGGCGGACGGGGCUUCACCUUCUCGUCAUGAACAUCCGGAGCGUGUUCAAGCUCGACGAGCUCGGUGCCGAGGUGCUGGGCAUCGCCGUGCCGGCGUCGCUGGCGCUCACGGCCGACCCGCUCGCCUCCCUGAUCGACACGGCCUUCAUCGGCCGGCUGGGGUCCGUGGAGAUCGCGGCCGUGGGCGUCGCCAUCGCCGUGUUCAACCAGGUGAUGAAGGUGUGCACCUACCCGCUCGUCAGCGUCACCACGUCCUUCGUCGCCGAGCAGGACGCCAUCCUCAGCAAAGGCGCCGCCGCCAAAGUCGUCGACGGAGAAGAAGAAGGGGAAAAUCCAGGUCAGCACGCUGCUGUUGCCGCCACGGACCCGGAGAAGCAACAGUCACCUGAAGAAGCCGCCAAGAACGGCGACUCCAACGCUGAGCCCAGCGAGGCGCCGCCGGCCGAGCUCGCCGGCGCCGAAGAAUGCGCCCCGGCCGUCAUUGGCCGGAAGGGCUGCAAGAACAGGAAGUUCGUGUCGUCCGUGACGUCAGCGCUGAUCGUGGGCGCGUUCCUGGGCCUGUUCCAGACCGUCCUCGUCGCUGCCGGGAAGCCGCCGCUGCGCCUGAUAGGCGUCAAGCCUGUCAGUCACUGCGGCCGCAAACGGCGGCGACGUCCCCAGAUUUGUCGCUGCAACCCAUGCGAAAUUCUUACGCAUCAAGUGCUGACCAAUUUUCAGGGUUCGUCGAUGAUGAUCCCCGCGCUGCGCUACCUGACGCUGCGCGCACUUGGCGCCCCGGCGGUGCUCCUGUCCCUCGCCAUGCAAGGCGUCUUCCGAGGCUUCAAGGACACCAAGACGCCUUUAUACGCCACCGGUAAGACUAAAACCACCAUUUCUUGAGCUUGCAUUGAGCACCAAACCAAUGUGGUUCGUUCCAUUUCUUACCGUCCAAGACGAUUGUUAACUAAUACGGUUCCCUGCUAAUCUCCAUGCUUUGAAUCUCCAGUGGCUGGUGACCUGGCAAACAUCAUGCUGGAUCCGAUCUUGAUAUUUGGCUGCCGCAUUAUGGGCGUGAUCGGCGCAGCCAUUGCCCAUGUUUGUUAGAUUAAUCUCCUCCCCAAUGGGCCCAAAGGCCCAUCGGGACCCUGAUCCGCGCCCUGAUCGGGGGCGCUCACCCUAGCAUUGGGUGGUGGGCCCCUGUCGCGCUGCGCUAUAUAAACAGGGUGGGGGCCUCGGCUCGGCUCACGAGGUUCGCCGUAGCCAGCCGCCCCACCGACACACCUACCGAUCUAGGUUUUGCGCAGUAGCGGCGGGAAGUACCACCGCCACCUCACCGGGGAUCGGACUCGGCACUGCGCGUCGCUGCCUUGCACAGACUUCCCCAAGCGAACCCGUGAUGGCCAGCAGCUCUGCUACUUCCACCCCUAGGGGUGAAGGUAUUCCUAUCUCUCUCUCUCUCUCCCUCGGCACACACCAGAAACACCAAGUCCCUCGUGUCGUUUAUGAUCCCGACUAGAUAUGCAUCUAGAGAUCCUAGGCACGAGUCUAAUAAUGGUAUCAGACACCUCACUAGAAGCUCUUCUAGAUCGGGAAAAAGAAGUAGAUCCAAAAAGAAACAGAAAAAGUAAAACCCUAACCCUAGAUCUAAAUAAAAGAGGGACGAGGAGCGGCUUACCUGCCGCCGACCUCACCGCCGCACGUCCACCGACGGCGAGCGGCAAAGGCCGGCCGAGCCUCGGGCUCGCCGGGGAAAAGCUCCACCGGAGCAUCCGCUCGGGGCUCGGGGGGGGGGGGGGGGGGGCACAACCGCACCACCAAAGGACCGCUCGACGGCGGCGCGCCCAACCUCACGGUGGACGCGCACGCCGGCGAGGGGACCCGCGGUGGCGCCGGCCCUCCUCCAUGGUCGCCAUGGCCCUCUGGAUCUCGUUUUUUUAGGAGGCUCGGAGGGAGAAAGGGGGGAGGCAAGAAAGAGAAAGGGGAGGGGGCUGCCGCGGCCGUGCGCCGGCGGGGCCAUCCCUCCACCACCGCCGCCGCCGGCCAUCGCCGGGCGCGGGAGAGACAGCCCCGCCGCCGCCGCCACGGCGGGAGCUCGCAGGGGGAAAAGAAAGGAAAGUAGCUAGGGUUGUGGGGGAGCCGGCCGUUCCGCCGGUUUUUGAUCCGCCGAAAAUGACGCUCGACCGUCGGAUUUGGACGGGCGGUCGAGAUCGUCCGGGCCAGAUUUGGCCCAGGCGGGAGGAGGCGCUGGGCCGUUUCCGUGGCCCAGGCCCAGGUUGCGGCCUGCGAACCGCAGUCAGGCGUCACGAGCGAGCAGAACAAGCUUCGGGCCUGCAAUUUGGCAGGCCGCCUUAGCGGGCCGGCGACGUCGCGCGAGCAGGCCGAGGACGGAAACAGACUGUGGGCUGUUUUCGCGAUUGGGCCGAAAAUAGAGUUUUGCACAGUAACGUUUGAAAAUUAGUUUUUUCUAUUUUCAGAAGCAUUUAAUUGAUGUUUUUUUGCAUUGUUUUGAUCUCUAAUCUAAUUUGAACCAACGGGGUAAUUUGUAUUAGAGAUUAAUAAAGUUUACACAGUGGUUUUGCUUCUGAAAAUAGAGUUAUUUCACAGUUUCCGCUGCAAAAGUUAAAUUUAUUGCUCUAUUUAAAUUUAAUUUGAACCAACGAGACAAUUAAAUUUGUGAGAGCAUGAUAAAGUUAAUUAGAUUAUGGUACUGUUAUUUUCUGACCAAUGUUGUUAAUAACUGUAUCAUGAUUUAAAAAGUUUUUUGAUGCUUUUAUUUCUAUUUCUGCCCAACGGUGAUAUAGUUUUAAAUUGCAUAAACAAUUGUAUGUUUUAUUUUUUGACCAACGUUGGAAAUAAAUCAUGCAAUUAUCGUUAUGAUCUCACCUUGGAUUGCAAAUUUCAGGAUCAUUCAACUUAAUGGCUUGCCUCAAAGAGAUACCCAUUCUGAAAGGCAGCAACCAUACAGAGUGGAGGAAGAAGAUUGAAUUCUCCUUCGUUUGUGGAGAAGUUGACUGGGUGCUGACUACACCGCGGCCACAAGCUCCAGAGAAGCCAGUGAGGGCUGAAGGUGAUGAUGAUGCUACAUGGCAGCAAAAGGAAAGGGACUAUGCUCCACUAGAGUUGGUAUAUACCCUUGAAAAUAAACAGUGGACCACUGCCAACAAGAAAUGUAUGGCUUUGGUAAAGAAUACGAUUGAGCCUGCAAUUUUGGGCUCGAUCACAGAGUGCGACUCCGUCGCAGAGUACCUCGAGAAGAUAAGGAAUCAGUUCACUGGUUCCUCAAAGAUAUAUGCUACCCAGCUAUUCAAGCAGCUGGCCACAGAGAGGUACAAUGGAGGAGGGACUGGCAUAAGAGAUCACAUCUUGAGGAUGUAUAACUUGGCAGCACAGUUGAAGCCAAUGGAUCUUGAGCUCAAGUCUGGGCACAUUAUUCACUUGGUUUUCGCUUCCCUGCCAAAAGAGUUUGACACUUUUGUUGUCAAUUAUAACAUGCAGCCAGAACAGUGGGACAUGGAAAAAAUGAUAGCCAUGUGCGUGCAGGAAGAGGAUAGAAUUAGAUCCUCAUAUGGGGGUUCAUUGCACUAUGUGAAGGAUAACAGGAAAAAGAAUGCUAACUCCUCUUUCAAGACACGAGGAAAGGCUCCCAUGCAGCAGACUGACUAAAAGCCUCUCACAGUAGACAAAGAUCAAUGUGUACACUGCAAGAAAGAAUGUCCCGACUGGUUAAAGUUGAUAAUGGCAAAAAGAGGUGAGAACACUAUCUCCUUUGUAAAUGAAUCCUUGUAUACACAGUAUUCCAAAUCUACUUGGUGGAUUGACUCAGGUGCAACUGUUCAUGUUGCAAAUUCUUUACAGGGAUUCCGUUCGACGAGGACUACGCAAAGAAGCGAAAGAUGCGUUGAAGUCGCAAAUGGAGUCCAAGCAGAUGUUGAAGCUGUUGGCGAUGUCUCUCUAGAGCUAGUUGAUGGUUUCAUGCUUGUACUUAGAGAUGUACUUUAUGUUCCUUCGUUACACAGAAACUUGAUUAGCAUUUCACGUAUGGACCAUGAUGGAUAUGAAUGUCAUUUUGGAAAUGGAAAGUGUGCCAUUUGGUUUGAUAAUGCAUGUGUUGGUGUUGCCAUCCUUCACAAUGAGUUAUAUUUAUUAUCACUGCGUGAAAAAGUAAAUUCUGUGUGUGAUGUGAAUAUGAAUGUAUCCUCGUCAGAGAAAGAAACAAAGAAAAGAAAGAGAACUCAUGAAAUAUCGUUGAAAUUAUGGCACUGUCGUUUAGGCCAUAUUUCGAGGGGGAGAAUAGAAAGACUAGUUAAGAAUGAAAUUCUUCCUCAAUUAGAGUUCUCAGACUUAGAACAAUGCGUUGAUUGCAUUGAAGGAAAGUUUGUAAAGCAAAUUAAAAAAGGCGCUAAACGUAGCACAGGAGUUUUAGAGAUAAUCCACACUGAUAUUUGUGUACCAUUUCCUGUGAAAAGCGUGGAUGGCUAUGACUCGUUCAUAACAUUCACAGACGAUUACUCCCGUUAUGGCUAUAUUUAUCCAAUUAAAGAAAGAGCAGAAGCGCUGGAUAAAUUUAAGAUUUUUAAAGCUGAAGUUGAAAAUCAGCAUAACAAAAGAAUGAAAAUAGUAAGAUCCGACCGUGGGGGGUACUAUGGUCGACAUACCCCAUUUGGCCAAGUUCCUGGACCUUUUGCAAGAUUUUUGCAGGAAAAUGGCAUAGUAGCCCAGUAUUCUAUGCCGGGCGAGCCUCAGCAAAAUGGAGUAGCUGAAAGGUGUAACCGUACACUGAUGGAUAUGGUGCGCAGCAUGAUGAGUUAUUCCACCUUACCAUUGGGACUGUGGAUGGAGGCGUUGAAAACCGCCAUUCACAUUCUAAAUAGAGUGCCAAGUAAAUCGGUGCCCAAAACACCGUAUGAACUAUGGACGAGAAGAAUACCCUCACUAAACCAUCUGCGUGUGUGGGGGAGCCCAGCUGAGGCCAAAGUAUUUAACCCAAACAUUGGAAAGCUAGAUCCCAAAACAGUAAGCUGCCACUUCAUUGGCUAUCCGGAAAGAUCAAAAGGUUUUCGUUUCUACUGUCCAGACAGAUAUACAAAGUUUGUAGAAACGAGACACGCGAUUUUCUUAGAGGAUGAGAUGGUGAGGGGGAGCAUGGUGGCUCGAGAGAUUGAUCUUGAGGAGAAGCGGGUGUGUGCACCUAAUCCGAUGAUUCAGGAACCAUUCUUCUCACUACCUGUAAUUCUCGCACCAAUAGUUCCUGAGGUCGAGGUGCAAGCACCUGCUACAGUACCUGAUAUUGUGGUGCAGGCACCUGCUGUGAUUCCACCCGUGGAAAUGAUGAGUGAAGUUUUGGAACCUGUCCUUCAGGAGCCAAUUAAACUCAUCAUUACACACGAGGAAGAGUUGCAGCAGCCACCUCUGGAUGAUGUGCCACAAGCAGAGGCACAGAAUGUGCCCGAAAGUGAGGGGCCUAGAAGGUCUCAAAGAGUUAGAAGAUCAGCCAUUCCUGAUUACUAUAAAGUUUAUAAUACAGAAGAAGUUCAUAUAGAAGGUGAUCCCACUUCAUAUGAGGAAGCCAUGAAAAGUGUUCACUCAUCAAAGUGGCUAGAGGCCAUGGAAGAUGAGAUGAAAUCAAUGAGUUCCAACAAUGUUUGGGAACUUGAAGAGAUUCCUAAAGGAGCCAAAACAGUAGGCUGUAAAUGGGUCUACAAGACUAAACGUGACUCCAAAGGGAAUAUAGAAAGGUAUAAGGCGAGACUUGUGGCAAAAGGCUUUACACAAAGAGAAGGAAUAGAUUACAAUGAGACUUUUUCUCCUGUCUCAUGUAAAGACUCCUUCAGAAUCAUAAUGACACUGGUUGCACAUUUUGACUUAGAGUUACAUCAGAUGGAUGUAAAGACGGCAUUUCUAAAUGGGGAUUUAGAAGAAAAUGUCUACAUGAAACAACCCAAGGGUUUUAUCAUGGAAAGCAAAGAGAAUAUGGGAUGUCGUCUAAAGAAAUCCAUUUACGGAUUAAAGCAAGCCUCUAGACAGUGGUAUCUAAAGUUUAAUGAUAUAAUCAAGAAAUUUGGGUUUCAAGAGAAUAUAGAGGACAAUUGUGUCUAUGCAAAGUUCAAAAAUGGGAAAUACAUUUUCCUAAUUCUGUAUGUGGAUGAUAUCUUACUUGCAAGCAGUGAUAUCAGUCUACUGCAAGAGACAAAGAAGUUUUUGUCCUCAAACUUCGAUAUGAAGGAUCUUGGUGAAGCAUCAUAUGUUUUGGGCAUAGAAAUUCACCGAGAUAGACUGAAUGGGGUUCUUGGAUUAUCACAAAGGGCAUAUUUAGAAAAGGUUCUAAAGAAGUAUAAUAUGCAUGCGAGUAAGGCCACACCUGCUCCCAUAGUCAAGGGCGACAGUUUUGGGAAUUUUCAAUGUCCCAGGAACCAGUACGAGAUCGAUCAAAUGAAAGCGGUUCCAUAUGCUUCAGCUGUCAGAAGCUUACAGUAUGCUCAAGUGUGCACUCGCCCUGACUUAGCUUUUGUCACCGGGGUUCUUGGUAGAUAUCAAAGUAAUCCAGGUGUAGAACACUGGAAGAUGGUAAAGAAAGUAUUGCGCUACGCGCAAGGCACAAAAGAACUCAUGCUUACAUAUAAGAGAUCUGAUUCCCUAGAGAUAAAAGGGUAUUCAGAUGCAGAUUUUGCGGGAGACAAAGAUGAUAGAAAAUCCACGUCUGGAUACGUAUUCACUCUCGCAGGAGGAGCUAUCUCGUGGAGAAGCUCAAAACAGAAAGUAACUGCAUCAUCAACGAUGCAUGCGGAAUUCAUAGCAUGUCAUGAUGCCACGGGGCAGGCGAUGUGGCUAAAGAAAUUUAUACCCGGAUUGAGAUUGGUUGACUGUAUUCACAGACCACUAAAGAUGUACUGCGACAAUGAGCCAGCAGUAUUCUAUGCUCACAACAACAAAUCAAGCAAUGCUUCCAAAACCAUUGAGAUAAAGUUUUAUGUUAUGAAAGACAGAAUCCAAGAUCGCACUAUAAGUCUCGAGCAUAUAAGAACAAAAGAUAUGCUUGUGGAUCCGCUCACGAAAGGCUUACCACCCAAUGUUUUCAGAGAACACUUAGCCGGCAUGGGUUUAAGGGAAAGCCUAUGAUUCCUGGAUUGUAAAAGGCCCAAAAGAAACAGAAUUGUUUCAAAAUAGAGAGGUGUGUUGUAGCUGUUGAUUCUAUCGGCAAUUAAGUUGUGACGAUGAGGCAUGCUCUACAUAUUAAUCUACGAUGAAACGAAUAAAAGCGAAAAGUGUAAAGUUAAAAGUAAAUGAUGAGAUCAAGGGGGAGAAUGUUAGAUUGAUCUCCUCCCCAAUGGGCCCAAAGGCCCAUCGGGACCCUGAUCCGCGCCCUGAUCGGGGGCGCUCACCCUAGCAUUAGGUGGUGGGCCCCUGUCGCGCUGCGCUAUAUAAACAGGGUGGGGGCCCCGGCUCGGCUCACGAGGUUCGCCGUAGCCAGCCGCCCCACCGACACACCUACCGAUCUAGGUUUUGCGCAGUAGCGGCGGGAAGUACCACCGCCACCUCACCGGGGACCGGACUCGGCACUGCGCGUCGCUGCCUUGCGCAGACUUCCCCAAGCGAACCCGCGAUGGCCAGCAGCUCUGCUGCUUCCACCCCUAGGGGUGAAGGUAUUCCUAUCUCUCUCUCUCCCUCAGCACACACCAGAAACACCAAGUCCCUCAUGUCGUUUAUGAUCCCGACUAGAUAUGCAUCUAGAGAUCCUAGGCACGAGUCUAACAAUGUUCUCUCUCAGGAAGUCCAUCGAUCUCAGCAUGCGUCGUGUCGUGCCGACAUGAGUUGUGGCGGCACAUCCGACCGGCAGAGGCUGACAAGGGAGGAACUGUAUGCAGGUACCUGAUAACGCUGAUAAUGCUGAGCAAGCUCGUGAGGAAGGUCGAUGUCGUGCCGCCCAGCCUGAGAUGCCUCAAAUUCCGCCGUUUCCUUGGAUGCGGUGAGCAUUUGCAUUUGAAUUCAUCAUCUACGAGACGAGAUCGAUUGACAUCAAAGCAUAUGGAGUAUGUUGUGAGGUGGUCUGGUGGUUUUUGACUGUGGAGAUUAACCUCUAGCUCUAAUCAUCGGCUAUUGCAGGAUUCCUUUUGCUGGCCAGGGUGGUGGCCGUGACGUUCUGCGUGACGCUGGCGGCGUCUCUGGCCGCUCGCCACGGGCCGACCGCCAUGGCCGCGUUCCAGAUCUGCUCCCAGGUCUGGCUGGCCACGUCCCUCCUCGCCGACGGGCUCGCCGUCGCUGGCCAGGUUAGCAAGCUCUUCUGUUCUGCACUUGUGCUGAUGACCACAACCAAAGCAAACACUAACUGGCCGAGUAUGUUCCAUCGCCAUGGCUGACUUGUUGACCUCUGCUUGUGUGGCAAUGCAGGCCAUGAUCGCGAGCGCCUUCGCCAAGAAGGACCACUACAAGGUGUCCGCCACCACCGCCCGUGUCCUGCAGCUCGGCGUCGUCCUGGGCGCCGUGCUCACGGCCGUCCUCGGGCUCGGGAUGCAGUUCGGCGCCGGCGUCUUCACCAAGGACGCCGCCGUCACCAAGACCAUCCGGAAAGCCGUUCCGGUAAGAAUCACCCAACAUUACACGGUAACCUCGGAUCGAUUAGGCCAAACUAAUCAGCACUACGCUUAAUUAUCUCGGAUGGAUCCAUGCAUGGCAGUUCGUGGCCGGGACGCAGACGCUGAACACGCUGGCCUUCGUGUUGGACGGCAUCAACUUCGGGGAGUCGGACUACGCCUUCUCCGCCUACUCCAUGGUCGGCGUGGCGGCCGUGAGCGUCCCGUCCCUGAUCCUCCUCGUCGCACGCCGGCUUCGUCGGGAUCUGGAUCGCUCUCACCAUCUACACGAGCGUCAGGGCCCUUGCCAGCACCUGCAGGUAAGCCCGGUAGCCCACUCCACCAUGCACCGAGCCACCGAUGCACGAUCCGAUUCACAUGCGCUCCAGGAAUCGAAUUGGGGGAUUCAUGGUCAUCUUGUUUCAACAAAAUAAGUAGAUUAAUGGUACGCGUCUAAUUCCUCGCGCAUGCAGGAUGGGAGCAGCCUGGGGGCCAUGGAAGUUUCUUCAGCAGUGAGCAGUCUUCGGCCCACUACUAUUGCACGUAGCCAUACUAGAAUACAGUAUACGCGCCUAUGCAUACCUGUGGGUAUACGUGAUGUACAUGUACACCUAGACUUGUACACUUGCACUUACAUAUAGUAUGCUCGAGGAUAUAAUUUUCCAUGGAUGUAUAUACCCCGGCCGUACGUGUUGACACGGGUGCUGUGUUUAUGACAUGUGAAUAUCCAUCCGUACUUGCACGUUCAAGCAAAAGGAAAACCAAGACAUGUAGAAGGUUAUAUAUAGGUGCAUUCGGCAAAUAGAAAAAGGUUGUCGAUCAUUUAGAUGCAAAAAUCAGAUUAUAUACUACCCUCUAGUCAAAUGAAUCAUAUUUUAUAAACUAAUCGGCAAAAUUCCGAGGGGAGGGGCACAUGCCCUGCAAGCAAACAAUUAAACUAGGUUAAUCAUCAACUAAAAUUUGAGAAAAUCUGGCUAGAUUUAGUGUUUAGAGGUUCAAACUAAUGUUACAGACUUACAGUCUUAAGUAUGUGAUGAUAUUUCAUUUUCUUUUUCUAGUAUUUGCAAUGUAACUCGAACUAGAUCUGAAGAUAUGAGUGCUUUGCAUAAGGAUGAAUUCAAAUAUGGGAGUGUUUGUACUUUUAGAAGUGCUAAAUGUGGAUUAGCUUAGAUAGUGGGCAUGAUUGUUUCUUUUACCGUCACUAAUAUUAAUUCUAUGUUUUUGGAUGAUAUCACUUCUAUUGUUCUUUCAUUGCCCUAUUCUUUCAAAGGUUUGCAAUCCAUGUGGAGUAGAUGUGUACAAAACACCGAACGACCAUUUGUCACUACACAGUUCGUUAAUUAAUCCAAGAGUCACACACAAGAAUUACAAUCGGUGCCGGUGCGUGCUUACAUGCAGCCGAAACCAAGAUUAAUCGAACCAAAAAAAUGAAUGAAACACAAGACCAAUUCAAAAAAAAUAAAUAAUAAAUUAAUAAGCACGAGACUCUGACAACCCAGCAGCUACGCCGAUGGAGCUCUCCGGUUGACGCGAUCCCACGGUCGCACGCGUAGUGAGGCCAUGAGUGUGGAUCAUCGUGACCGCGCCGAUUAGACGCCCUUGCCACCCUUCCUCUCGGUGUCGUGUGAGUUCAUGCUGAAGCUGUUGAGCGUGCGGCCGCCGGCGGCGUUGAAGCUGAAGCUGUUGGUCUUCUUGCCGGUGGCGGCUGCCCCGGUGGCGUUGACGGGCGCCGCGUGCUGGCUCAGCAGCAGGAGCCCCAUCAGGGCCACGCACAGCAGAGUCAUGCGCAGCUCACCGGACUUGGACGCCAUCGCGGGACUGGCACGGAUAUGACGGGAUUAUUGGCAGGGAUGGAAGUCUGAUGUUUAUUCGGAUGGAUCGCGGCUUGGUUAUGGUGGAGAU
rnacentral:lncRNA from 1 species